AUAUCCCUUUUUGAGCCAUAUAAGAGAAUGAAUAUCUCAAGAAAAAGACAAAUGCCACCUCUUCUUAUAGAAGUGGAUAAUAAUGAAGAAUUUGAGAUAGAAGAAGUCUUAGAUUCAAGGCGGCACCAAAAUAGAUUGGAAUAUCUUAUUUUUUGGCAUAGAUAUGAUAUUAGUGAACGCACAUGGGAGCCAACAAAGAAUCUUGCAAAUGUAGCAAUGAGAGUUAAAACCUUUCAUCAAUGACAUCUAUUAAAAUUAAGAUGAAGUAUCGUAAGAUUCAUAAAAGAUAUUGACAGUUCCUUGUAGAAUGCCUCUAAAAAGGAGGAUAUUGUUAUAAAUAUAUAUAUUAUCGUAAUACAUGAAGUCUUGCUUGAGAAUGCUCCAGAUACCUAGCUGUGGAAGGAAGAAUGGAAAUUUCAAUAACAAAAUCCUAAUUCUAAUAGAAUACUAAUAAUACUCUAAUUAGACCAUAAUAAUGCUAAGCAAGCUUAAUUAAAUUCAAAAAAACCUUUAAAAAAUUUCAAAUAAACAAUAAGAAUUCUUAAAGAAAUAUUAGAAGGAUCACAAAUAUCACUCCAAUACAUCUCAAUUCAAUCUUAAUUUAAUUUUAAUUAAAAUCCUAUUGAACUUCAUUCAAAAUUUAGGCCAAAACUAAUUGAAUCUUAAAUCCUAAUAAAAUCCUAAAUCCUAAAUCAAACCCUAAACAAACCUUGAACCAAACUCCAACCAAAUCCUAAACCAAAUCCUAAUCAAACCCUAAACCAAACCCUAAACCGUAAAUCAAACCCUAAUCAAAUCAUAAACCCUAAAUCAAACUCUAACAAAAUCUUAAUCUAAAUCCUAAAUCCUAAAUCCUAAAUCAAACCCUAAUCCAAAUCCUAAACCAAAUCCUAAACCCUAAAUCAAAUCCUAACCAAAUCCUAAAUCCUAAAUAAAAUCCUAACCAAAUCCUAAACCCUAAAUCAAAACAUAACUAAAUCCUAAACCCUAAAUAAAAUCCUAACCAAAUCCUAAACCCUAAAUAAAAUCCUAACCAAACCCUAAAUCCUAAACCAAACCCUAACCAAAUCCUAAAUCCUAAAUCAAAUCCUAGUAAUUCCUACAACAGAUUUAAAUAUCAAUAACUAAUGAAUAAACCGUUGAUCUUAACUCAAAUUUCACAAAAUUCUAAACAAAUAAGUUAAAAAUAAGCACAAAAAAAUUGAAAAGGAUCGGAGUUACCAAAUUGACGAUAACUUCAAAAAUAUGCUUGGAUAUUGGUAGGCCUCCUUCUCCAAUCUUGAUGCCAAUCUUCGAGAGCCAAUAUCUCUCCUUUGCACCAUUCGAUUGAUCUCAAAAUUUUCAAACACAUAGAGAAUCAAGUUUAAUAUUCUCUUACAUAAGUUUCACUCCAAUCCAACUAGUAGAUUGUAAGAAAUCUUAAAAAUCCCCACUGGACCUAAAAUUCUACUUUUUGAGACCUUGACCCACUUAAAUCUCAAUAUUCCUCAAUUUAACCGUUAGAUCGAGCUCAAAUUCACAAUACAUAUUGAACACAACUAUAAACAUAAAUCCACAAAAUUUCAUUUAUAGAUCUAUUACAAAACUCUUGAAAUCAUCCAAAAUGUAAACCCUAUUUUAUUUCAUAAAACUCAAGUCAUCCGAAACAAACCUUGACUUUACAAAGCUCUUAAAAAGUCAUAACAACUCCAAAUCACCCAAAAUCAAUGUCCAUAGAAACCCUAUCCAAUCUUCUAUCAAACCCCACUCUUUGAUCUACCAAAGAGUCCCGGAAUCAUUGUCGAAACUCGGUUUUGUGCCUCAUGGUCUGAUUUCGACCCUAGUUCAUAACCGGCCUUCUCUGGGUAUCAACAUCUAGUUUUUUUUUAAGUAAUUUUUACUAGAAUUUACUCUUAACUUCCUCUCAAAGAUUUCUAUAUAAUUUUUUUUUCCAAUCUACCUUAUUUUGUCUUAUUUUUGGCCCUACAAAGUAAGUAGAAGCUAUUUUUUCUAAAAGGGCAGUAUUACUACUAAAAUUUUUACUACCUUCCUAUCUUUUAUCCAUAUUUUUCUACCUUUUCUUUUAACUUGGCUCUUCUAUAAUAAGAUCCAUAUUAUCAUCUUUCACCAUAUAAUCAUGUUAUAACAUGACAAUGUUUAUCUCAAUAGUUACUUAUAUGAUUAAAUAGAAGUAGGUAAAUAUAGAUUAAUUUCAUAAAUUCUUCUAAAACAGCUUCUUAGAAGCUUCAUAGACACGGUUUUGAUUUUAGAUGUGUUUGUAGGUUAGAAACUUGGCCAACAAGUUAAUUACAUGUUGAUAGCUUGAGAAACAAGCUAACUAUGUGGCGUAUACAUAGAUAACUUAUCUUGCAAGUUAAAAUAUGUAGUUAGCAAAGUCAACACAUGUUGGAGGUCCUAUAGAAUAUGGCCACGUAGCUCCUAGUUAGAGAGUAUAUAUGGAGGCAAGAGUGAAGCCUUCUUCCCUCUUAUCAACGCCUUUCUAAUUCUUAAUCUUGUUUCAAGAUUUUUUAGUCUUCUUGUUUUUGGCAAUAGCUAUUCUAGUUUAAUAUUAUAUUACCUUUUAAGUGACUUUCUAAUUCUCUUUAGUGACACAAGAGUAUAUCGAAGAUUUUCUUUCUUUGAGAUUUUUGUCCUUGACAUCCAAGCAAAGAAAACUAUCAGAACUUAAAGAUGCUACAACAAAUUGAAAUUAUUUAAAUUCAAGGUCCAAAGCAUACAUUAAUAAUUAUUUUAUGACAUUGUUGUGAAAAAAGAAUGUUAUAUAUAUAUGCAUUUUAAGCUUUUAUGUAGCUUAUUCUCUAUGGUUGUAUUAUUAAAAAAAUAAGAAAGAAAAAUAAAACAUCUUAAAGAUAUUUGAUAGAAACCUUGAUAUAUAAUUACAAAGUUGUUGUAUUGUAUAAUGCCUUGCUUGAAAAUGCACUAGGCACUUGAUUGUAGAAGGUAAAAGAAAUUUCCAACAACAAGUCCUAACAUUUCUAAUUGAAUCAUAUAUAAAUUAUAAUUAAAGCUUAACAAAUAUAAUCAAAUAUUAAUCAAGCUCAAUUAAAUUUUUAAAUAAACUAAAAAAGAAACACAAAGAAAUUACAAAAAAAUAAUAAAAGAACUUAAAAAAAUAAAAAAAAUAAAAAAAUAAAAAAAUAAAAAAACAAAUAAUCUUUAAAAAAUUCUAAAAAAAGAUAAAAGAGAUCCUUAUGAAAUCCAAAAGAAAUCCAAUUUUUUUUUAAAAAUUAAUAAAUUAAUAAAUUAAAAAACAAUCCUUAAAAAAAUCCAAAAUAAAUCCUUAAAAAAUCCCAAAUUAAAUUCUAAUCAUAUCCUAAAUCCAAAAGAAAAUCCUAAUAAAUUCCUAAAUAAAUCCUAAAUAAACCUAAUUAAUUCAAAUCAAUCCUAAGAUAGUUUUAGAACCUUAAUAUCUAUUGAUUAAAUUUUUGAUCUUACUUAAAAUUUUAUACACCAUUCAAUCUCUUAGUUGACAAUAAGCACAAAAAAUUUGAAGAGAAUUAAAUUACAAAAUAGAAAAAUAAUAUCAUAAUCCACUUGAGUGUUGGCUAGCCUCUAUCUUUGACCUUAAUGUUGAUCUUUUAGUAAUAAUAACUCCUAAUUGUAUUGUUAACUUAUUCUCAAAUUUUUUAGAAGUGUUGAAAGUUAAGUCAAUUAUUAGCUCCAACAAAAAAAAAUUCAAUCCAACUAGUAAAUUUUUGCAAAUCUUAAAUAUCCUUACUAAAUCUUAAAAUCCAAUUUUUAAGAUCCUAAACCUCUUAGACUUUAAUAACCACUAAGUCAAUUUUUUGAUAAAGCUCAAAUUUAUAAUAUAUUUUUAGUACAAAUAUAUUCAUAAUUCUAUAAAAUUUUAUUUAUAGAUCUGCUACAAAAUUCACAAAAUUUUCCAAAUUAUAAAUCCUAUUUUAUUUCACAUAAUUUAGAAUCAUCCAAAAAAAUCUUAACUUGAUAAAGCUCUUACAAAGUCAUUACAAAAUUAAAUUGCUUGAAAUCAAUACUUUAAGAAAUCUUAUAAAGUCUUCUUCCAAAUUCCACUCUUUGAUUUGUAAAAAAACCUUGGAAUUACCAUAAGUGUAUGGUUUUGUAUCUCAAGGUUUGAUUUCAAUUCAAGUUGAUAACUAGUCCUCUUUGAAUAUUAAUUUCUAUCUUCUUGAGGUAAUUUUUAUUAAAAUAAAUUCUUAAUUCCCUCCUAAAUGUGCAUAUAUAUUUUAUUUUUCUAAUCUACCUUGUUUUACUUUAUUUAUAGUCUUACAAAGUAAAUAGAAGUCUAUUUUAUAAAAAGGUAAUAUUUGUAAUUUUAAUUUAUUAUUCUUUGACUAUUAUCUAUAUUUCUAAGAUAAUUUGCUAUAAUAUUUUGAAAUAAGAUCUUCUAAAAUAUAAUAUUUUUUUUACUCUUUUAUUUAUUAGCCAUGUUACAUUAUGACAAUAUUGUCAUAGAGAGAAUUUAUUUUAGAAAAACAUAGGAUUUUUGAUUGCAACUAGAUACAAUUAAAUAUUUUAGUGAUAAAAUAUCUAUAUAUAUAAAUAUUUUUUUAAUUUAAUCAUUUAAUCUAAAUUAUCUAAAAAUAAAUUUAUAAACUUUAAAAAAUAAAAAAUAAAAAAUAGUAAUAAAAGUAAGGAAUUGAAGUCCAAUAAAAUUUAAGAUAAGGGAAGUAAAAGCUUCAUAUACAUAGCAUUAGUAUCAAGGACAUGAAUUUAGAAGAAAGAGAAUCCUUGAUAUACUCUUGCAUCACUGAAUAAAAUUAGAAAGUCACUCAAAAGGUAAUGUAAUAUUAACUAGAAUGGCUAUUGCCUAAAAACAAAAAGACUAGAAAGUCUUGAAACAAGACUAAAGACUAGAAUGGCAUUGACAAGAGUGAAGAAGGCUUCACUCUUGCCUCCAUAUAUAUUCUUAACUAAGAGCUACGUGGCAAUAUCCUGUAGGACCUUCAAAACAUGUUGACUUUGCUAGCCACAUUCUUAACUUACAAGGCAAGUUAUCUAUGUAUGCACCACAUGGUUAGCUUGUUCUACAAGUUAAUAUACAGAGUUAACUUAUUUCAAAAGCUACCAACACGUUGUUAACUUCUUGGCCAAGUUUCAAACCUACAAACACAUCUAAAGUCAAAACUGUAUCUAUGAAGCUUUUAGGAAGUUGUACUAAAAGACUUUUUGAAAUUAAUCUAUAUUUACCUACUUCUAUCUAAUCAUAUAAGUAAUUAUUAAGAUAAAUGUAUAUGUCCAUGGCACCCCUUCUAGGGACGAGUUCCACAAAGAGCAGUCUUCAUAUAUUGAGGAAGUUCAAGAUGCGAUGAAUUAUAUUUGCUACAUACUCCGAUUUUUGCUCUCUUCAAAGAUAGUUGAUAGGCCCUCUCAACCAUCAAUAGUGUUCCAUAUCAGGACAAGAAGACUACCUAGUUAUUUAAUCGUUGUUGAGGUGUUUGUAACUUCCUUCAAAUAAAAUAUUUGUAAUACCAUCAUGAGUUGUUCAUACCUCUAAUCAAAUCACCAAACAGUGGAAGUUUCUUCUAAGAUUGUAAUACCAAACACAUUAUAUCUCGCCAUUUAAUUAAAGAAGGACUUGUCAUUCUUGAGGAUAUUCAUCUUGAUUUUGUCAUCUUAAAAUUUAUAACAAUUGUAAUAUCUCAUCUAAUAAAUCUGCAAAUGAAAGCUCUUGAGUUGAAUCUACUAGUUGUUGAUUCUCCAUCUAUUUAGCAUCACAAAUACACAUAAGCUACAAAAAAAGAUAGAAGGUAGAAUAUUAUCUUUCUUUGAUCUUGUUUCUUUUAUAAAAAAAGAUUUGAUAUGCUUUAUCUUGGUUUUGAUGGAUAUUAUUAAUGAAAAGCUUCAACUUUUUUGAUUGCAUUUGCAAGAUUUUUUUAUGGCUUCUAUCUGCGUUCACUAAUAUUAUAUCCAUGCCAAUGUACAAGAUAUUCCAACCUAUUUUGAUGCCACCUUAAAUCUAAAACUUCUUCCACUUUGAACUCUUGAUUAUUAUCUACUUCUAUAGGAUGAUGUGGCAUUUGUCUUCUUCCCAAAAUAUUCAUUGUCAUAUACGGCUCAAGAAGGGACACGUACUAUAUAGGAUAGAUCUUCAUAGACUCUGGUAGAUAUAAUCGAUAAGCAAUAGGAUUGAUUUGUUCAUAAAUAGAAAAAGAUCUCAGCCUAUGAUAGUCCAACUUAUCACAAAGAUAAGUAGUUUUGAUAUUGUGACGAAGUAAUCAUACUUUGUCACCUAUAUUGAAUUGUAGUUACUCCUUACAAUAGGCAUUUGCAUUGAUCUUUUGCUGUCUUUGAGCUUUUUUUAAUUAUAUCUUUAUUAUUGCAUAUAGCUUUGACAAAUGAUUUGCUAAAUCUUUUGCGACAAGAUUAUCAACUUUUGAAAAGUUAAAAGUAUCAAGUCAUGGAUGAUAACCAUAAUUAGCAAAAAAAAGUGUUUGUUGAGUAGAAGAAUGUACUAAAUUAUUGUAUGCAAACUCUGCUAAUGGUAAAAGAGUUGUUCAAUCAUCUUAAUGAUUAUUGAUAGUACACCUCAAAUAUUCUUCCAAAAUUUGAUUCAUCCAUUUCCUUGCCCAUCACUUUGAAGUUGAAAAGUUGAAAAAAGCUUUAUAUCCACUUUUACAAUCUUAAAUAAGAUUCUUCAAAAUCUUGAUAUAAUUGAGUCCUCCUAUGUAAUAUAAUAUCCUUUGAUAAUCUAUGAUAGCAAUAGAUAUUGUUGAUUAAAAGUUUAGUUAUUUUUUCACCUAAUAUAGAUUUUGUAUAUAGUACAAAAUAUGCCAUUUUGGUGAAGCAAUCUACGAUUACAAAUAUGAAAUCAUACGAACCUGAGAUUGGAAGAUCUAUCAUAAAAUCCAUAGAAAUAAAAAAUCAUGGUUGUUCUAGAAUAGGUAACAGUUGAAGCAAUCCAUAAGGUUAAUGGCAAGGAAUUUUAAAUCUUGAACAAGUAUUGUAUGAUUGUACAAAGUCUUUGACUACCUUCUACAUUUGAGGCCACCAAAAAUCUCUUGAAAUUAGUUCUAAAGUCUUAUUGUAUCCAAAAUAUCCAAUUGCUAGAAAAUCAUGACGAGCUUGAAGGACACGUAAUCAUGCCUCGCUUUCUAGAGUAUACAAGUGAUCUUUGAAAUAUAAUAGGUUCUUCUUGAACUCAAACUUUGAAGUGUCAUAGGACUCAGAAGAAGUUUUCUUGAUAUCAUGAACAAAAAGAUCAGAGGACAUACUUGAUUGAAUUUUCUUGACAAAAGUUGAAUGAAUAGUGAAUAUUGAUUUUAUUGCUCGAAGAUGAAAAUGCUUGAGCUUUAAGAAGAUCAUUCUUUGUUGAUCAAAAGAUGUAUCUCUUUCUUUUGGUACAAAAUAAGAAUAUCUCGAAAGAGCGUUUCAUAGACCUUAUUAUUUUUCGGGUCAAUAAGUGAUCUUGAAAUUGAAUCUAGAUAAAGACAUGCUCCAAUAAGCUUGACGAUAAUUCAAAACAUAUACUGACAUGAAGUACUCAAGGUUCUUAUGAUUUGUAUAUAUAGUGACUAGACUUGAAGCGCCUUCUAGAUAAUGAUGCUAUUCUUCAAAUGAAUCCACAAUUAUAAGGAGUUCUUUGUUAUGGAUCUCAUAAUUAAUCUUGACUGCUGAAAUUUUUUUGAUAUGGAAAGCUACUAGGUGGAAUUUGUCAUCUGUUCCUAUUUGUCACAACAAGACAUUCAUAGCAAAGUUUGACUCAUUUGUUUCCACAAAAAAAUAUCUUAGAGAAGUCAAUGCAAUACAAAAUUGAUAUUAAAGUAAAUUCCUUCUGUAAAUCAUCAAAUGAUGCUUCUACUUCUUUAUUCCACUCAAGUUUGUCUUUAUAAGUCAAACGUGUGAGUAGAGCUGUAACUUGAAAAAAGUUUUUGAUGAAGAUUCAAUAGUAAUUAAUAAAGUCUAAAAAGCAUUGUACAUCUUGUACUGUUCUUAGAAUCUUCUAAUCUAUGAUAGUUUGGACCUUCUUAGGAUCCAUCAUAAGGCCUUCAUUGGAAAUGAUGUAUCCUAAAAAAUCAACUUGAGUAGUGUGGAAUACACACUUUUUCAACUUUACAUAUAAUCCUACAUCUCUAAGUUUCUGUAACACUCGACGAACAUAAACUUUAUAUUCUUUUGUAUUCUUAGAGUAGAUUAGAAUAUCAUCUAAAUGAAAAAUGAUAAAAUCAUCUAAAAAUUCACAAAAAAUAUCAUUUUUAGAUGUUGAAAAGUAGUUGGUGCAUUCAUGAAUCUAAAAGGCAUAACAUUAUAUUCAAAAUAUCCAUACUUAGUUUGAAAAGUAGUCUUCCAUUCAUCUCUUUCUUUGAUAUGAACUUAAGUUGUAUACUCCUCGUAUAUCUAUUUUGGUAUAAAUCUUUGCUUGAUUGAAUUGAUAAAGAAGUCCUAAAAUCAAAGGCAAAGGAUACCUAUUCUUGAUGGUGAUUUUAUUGAGUCGUCGAUAAUCUACACAUAUUUGUUGAGAUCCAUCUUUUUUCUUUACAAAUAAAAUAGGAGCUCCGACUGGAGAUUAAGAAUGGUGUAAAAAGUUCUUUUCAAAAAUAUCUUAGAAUUCUUCAUAUUGGCUAGGAAUACUACUUGACAUUUUUUCACCAUUAGAAAUGGGCAUAGCAUAUAUAGCAAAAGAUGAUUCUUCUUUUGUAGCAUGCAUGAAAGCUCUCACACCUACCAAUAAAGAUUUGGAAGUAUUAGACUUUUGUACUUCUACUUCCGUAACUUGAUCUUAGAUUAUAAUAAUAAAAAAGUUAAGAUUACGAGAAAUCCAAUUUAUUUGAAGAUUAUAUUUUUCUAGCCACGUUAAGCCUAAAAUAAUCAGAUUGGAGGGAGAUCUUAUUAUAUUAAAUACUACUAUAUUUUUAUAAUCUUUGAUUAUUAAAUCUAAAUGAACAGUCUCAUAGGUGACAUUUUUAGAAGACAACAAAUGACCAUCUAUGACUUCUACAUGUACGGAUUUAGUUUUCUUGACUAAACGUAUUUUUUGAUUUUUGAAAAAAUCUUUGUUUAUAAAACUGGCUAAGGCUCCUGAAAUAAUAAGGCAAAGACUUUGUAAUUUUUAGAUCCUAAAUACAUAUCUAUUAUAAAACAAGGUGAAGGAUCUCAGAAAAGAAUAAGACCUUUACUAGGUGUUGCACAUGAUUCCAGCUGCAUGGUCCCUAUUGUAACUGAAAAAACUCGUUUUUUGACAUAUUAGCUUCUUUGGUAAUUGUAUUCCUCAUUUUGUAAUUGCGUUGCUUUUUUGGACAAUGUUGAAUAGUGUGCUUAGCUUUUCUACAAUAUAAACACAAACCUUCUUAGCAACAUUGAGUCUUUUCCUACUUUAUGAGAAUUUUAAAAUGUAUCGUAUCAAUUUACAUUAGUUUUGGCCUUAAUAAAUACGUUUCAAAAAACUUGGAAGCUGCUGCCAUUACUUGACUUGUUCCUCUUCAAUCAAGUUUUUAUUCUUGAUGUCUUUCAAAUAAUUGAUUGUCACAUGCAAUGGCUUGAGAAAUAAAUUAUUAUAAAGAUUUUGUUUUCAGCAUUGUUAAUAAAAAAUCUUUGACACUAUCCUUUAAUCCAUAUCAAAAUUGAUUGAUGAGUGCUUUAUCAUUCUAGUCUACAUUGCAAGUAAGGUUUUGGAUUUGGCAGCAUAUGAGGUGGUUUAUUGUGAUUCUUGUCGUAAAGAUAAGAAUUUGAUCUUUUUUACUUGUUUUCAAUUACUUUCUCCAAAUAUGGCUAUGAACACUUCUAGGAAUGAAUUCAAAUUUUAAAGCAGUUGCAAAUCUUUUUCCAUUAAAGGUGAAAAUCAAGAGAGAGCACUUCUAGAUAGAAAUGCACCUAUGAAUCUAACUUGAGUAAAUCCAUUAGGAUAUUGAAAAGGAUGCAACCUUAAAUAGAGCUUGACAUAUUACAAAAUCUUCAAAAUUUUGAUCUUGUUCCAUCAAACUUCUCAGGCAUAGUAAUCCUUCUCUCCAUCAUACUUGUAGAAGAAAAAUUCCCUAGAAUUGGUUGUGAAGUCGAUCUACUUGCUUCCUUCAAUUGCACAAUUUCUUGCCAUAGACUUUGGACUUCUUUCAGAGGUGUAGGCAUAGUACUUCCAUGAUUUACGUUAGAAAUACAUGAGAUUUCCACUCUAAGAGUGUUGACAAGCUCAUGAAGAUUUGUAAUAGUUGCAAAUCUAUUUUCAUUUCUACUAGGUGUAGCAUCUAUAAUCUUUCUUUCCAUAGUCAAUUCAAAUAAAUUCAAAAAAGUUAAAUUAGAGGUGGAUAAUCGGCAACCUCUAAUAAAAAUUUCUACAAAGAUAGAUAAUCCACUCUCUUUAAGUAAAGAUCAGUGUUAAAAAACAAGAUUAUUUUGUUUAAAAGGUGGAUAGUCUGCAACCUUCAAAAUACAACAAUAGAAGUGAGGUAAUCCACUUACUUCUAAAAUAAGAUAAAAACAGUAUAUUAGCACUCUUAUUAAACUAUCAUAGAUAUGAAUAUUGAAGAAAGAAAAUCCUUGAUACACUCUUAUGUCACUAAAUAGAACUAAAAAGUCACUCAAAAGAUAAUGUAAUAUUAACUAUAAUGGCUAUUGCCAAAAAAUAAAAAGACUAAAAAGUCUUCAAACAAGACUAAAGACUAGAAUGGCAUUGACAAGAGUAGAAAAGGCUUCACUCUUACUUCCAUAUAUACUCUUAACUAGGAUCUACGUGGCAAUAUCCUAUAGGACCUCCAAAACAUGUUGACUUUGCUAGCCACAUUCUUAACUUGCAAGAAAAGUUAUCUAUGUAUACACCACAUGGUUAGCUUGUUCCACAAGCUAAUAUAUAGAGUUACCAAUAUGUUCUACAAGCUACCAACAUGUGGUUAACUUGUUGACUAAGUUUCCGAUCUAUAAACACAUUUAAAGUCAAAACCGCAUCUAUGAAGCUUUUAAGAAGUUGUACUAAAAGACUUUUUGAAAUUAAUCUAUAUUUACUUACUUCUAUCUAAUCAUAUAAGUAACUAUUGAGGUAAAUGUAUAUGUCCAUGAAAAUUAGAUACCAAGUCACAAACUUAGUUGGUUGGUUAAGUUCAUGCUACUUCAAUAAGUCUAAAUUUGAUUCUUGUUAGAUAUCUUAAUUGACAUGAGUGGCACAUGACUUGAGACUACUAAUAUGAAUAGCAAGCAAAAAAACAAUAUAGUCAACUAGCCUCCUUUCUUCUAAGUUGUGAUAAGAUGCAAUCCACUCAAAAUUUGUAGUUAUAACUAUAAUCAUUUUUUCCACUACUUUAUUUCCUUCAUUUCUUCUAUCCCUUUUUCCUAUCUAUUAAUUUUUAUUUUGUUCUUUCUUUUUCUAAUUCUUUACUGCAAAUCAAAUUAUCAUAAUAUUUUAUAUUUGAUUUACAUAUUAUGCCACUUUUUAGCAUAGUAAUGCCAAAUCUUGACUCUUUAUAUAUGAUAUGAUUAUACUUUCAAGGUUAAAAAUAAUAAUUAAAUAAGUUUUUAUAAACUAUCAUUUAUAUAGAUUUCCAGUUUUUGUAAGUACUCAUCAGCCUCAUUGGUUGGUGCUAAAGCAAAUUUGAUGUAGAAACAAACUAAACAUCUUGAUAUCAAAGGUUUCUUUAAAAAGUGCAAAUAUGACUUUGCUCUAGUCUAUAAGAAAAUUUUACCAACCUAUUUUUAAUUGAGAGUCAAAAUACUUCUUAUAAUUGGCUACAAUAUUCUUUUAAAUGUAUAAAAUAUAAAGCAAUUGAAUAAAUAUAGAAAAUAUUUUUUAAAUGAUAUUUAUUAGUGUAAAAUCUUGGUCAACACCAAUGGUAAAGAACUUAAGGUUUUUAUACAACUAAACAAGUUAUAUUAAUAUCUAAUAAUAGAAUCACUUAGAUUUUUUAUAAAAGAAGGCAACAAAUAAUAAUAAAAGACAUAUUGAAACUUAUCACUUCCACAACAUGCAACAUAGGCAUCUUGAAUUUAAUUGUUUUAUAUGUAUAUUUUAUAAUAAUUUCAUUUCAGUAUCUCUUUGAAAACUAAAUAUAUUUAAGGUCCACUAAAAAAAUCAAACUUAUAUUAUUUUUUGUCUCAUAUUUAUAUGUGUAUUGAUAUCCAACAUCAUAAAGAUUCUUCAUAAGAGUGAAAAUAUAUAGAUGGUAAUGAAGGUCAAUUUUGCAUAUAUAUAUUGGUACUUAUUAUAGAUAGUACAAGCAAUCACAUGAAUUUUAGAAUUUCUCUAUCAUAAUACAAUUAUCACAUUUAUUAGUACCACCCUUAUAAUAAACUUCUAAGCAAUCUUCUCAUUUUGUAUUGGCUUAAGACAAUAAGGAGUGGAAUGACUCAUCAAUGAUGCCAAAGCUCAUAGUUAUGUUUUUUAUUUCAAACUAUCAAAUGCCCAUGUUCUCAAUAUGCAAAACUUGCACAUACAACUCAAUGAGUAGCUAAUUAAUUAUAUUACUAUGUUACAUUGAGGGAUUAAAUGCAUGUCUAUUUCAUUAUAUGAACAACUCUUGCCAUGUUUAAAAACAAUAUAAAGCCUAUUAUAGCAAGAUUUGGAAAUUACACAUCUUUCAGUAUAGACAAGAAUAUAUAUGUUUUGUUUCAUAUUCUUCUAUGAUUCAAAAAAUUCCUUUGGUGGUAGGUGUAUGGCAAGCGGAUUUUUUAUUUCAAAGUUGAAUUAGAGUAAGAUUUUAAAAUUUUAGCUGCUACUAAUAGAUUAUAAAUUAUGAUAAGCUAUUUAAAAAGCUCAUUGGUUAUAAGAUUGCUUAAUAACUAAAUUUCAUAUUCAAUAGACUUUCUAUUAAAUGCCAUAAAUAUAUUAUUAAUUAAUAUUUUUUUAUAUUUGUAAAUUUUUUAAAAUUAAAUUAAAUUAGAAGAUUAUCCAUUUUCUAAUGAUAGUUAUAAUGAUAAAAUUAUUGAAUGUUGUAAAAAUUUUGAAGUAUUAAUUGAGCUCAAGAACUUGUGUGCAAAGGGUAGAAGAUGUAUAAUAGAAUAGAUUGGAUGAAUAUUUGUUAUGUUUCAUUUUUAUGUGAAUGUGCUUUAAGAAUUUGCCAUGAUGGAGUUAUUUUGUGAGCUCUACUUUAGUAUCUUUGCUUGAUUUAUAAGAGGAUGUUGGAUCCUUUAUAUAUAACUCUUUUUCAAAUGAAUCUAAUUAAUAAAAAAUUAUAUUAGAUCCUUUGUGUAUGAUUCUUUUUUAGAUAGAUUGCAUUAAUUAAAAAAAUAGAUCAAUUUAAUAAUUUUUAUAUUUAUAUUAUUUUACUAGCUAAAAAUAAAUAAUAUAAUAUAAAAUUAAAAAAAUAUUAAAUAAUUUUGAUUCAAAUAAGAUUUAUAUAAUAUUUAAUUUAUAUCUAAUAGUGCUUAUAGUUUUGAGAUAACAAAUCAAAUCUUAAAACUCUUUAAAUAAUAAAUUAGAUUUUUUUAUCUUUUGAAAAAAAUUAAUAUAUUUCUAAUAAUAAGCUUUCAAUCAAAAUUUAAUUAUUAAAUCAUGAAAUUCUAAAUUUAAGUAAAUAAUUAUUUUUCAAUUUGAAUAUAAAAAAUAAAUAAAAUAAAUAUAAAUAUAAAUUUAUUUUUAUAAUUUAUAUUCUUUAAUUAAUAUUUUUUAAUUGAUUCAUAAUAUUUUCUAGAACAAAUAUUAUUCUUAAAUUAUAAAAUUAUGAUAUUAAUUUUUAUAUAAUUAAUAAAAAUAAAAGAUAAAAUUUUAUGAUUUAAAUAAUAAAAUAAAAUAAAAAUUAUAAUUUAAAUUUUAUUGUAUCUUAUAAAAAAUAGAUAAAAUAUUUUAUCAAUAAGAAUAGUGAUCAUUUGUUUAUGUAUAUAGGAUUUAAUUCAAAAAAUACCAUUUUUUUAAGAUUUAGUUUUAAUUUUAUAUUAAAGUUAUAAAUCUUCUAGAACAUCUCAAUGAAUGUCAUACAUUAUACAAUAUUAUAAAGGUUUCUUAAAAUGACACCUUGAACCUCUAUCAAAUAACAUAAUGUUUCAACCACUCUCAAUUUGUAUAUUAUAAUCACAAUAUUGUAUUCUAUAGAUGUUAUUUCUAUCAAGAUUCUCUCAUAUUUAUUUUAAAAAUCAUAUAUAGAUUUCUCAAAUACCACUCAAUUUUAUUGUACAAAUUAUACAUGCUAAAAUAUGCAUGCCUAGCAUUUUAAAUCUGACAUCAAAAAAAAAAAAAAAAAAAAAAAAAAAAAAUCUUUAGUUUUUGUCCAAAACCACCAUUUUUUGUCAAAUCAUGAAUCACAAAAAAUAAAAAUCUCAAUACACUCUUCUGUCACUAGAAAACAAUAGAUCAUCACUCAAAGAUGGUAUAAUAUUAAGAUUAGAAUAGCUAUUUGUGAAUUUAAAUUUCACCCUUCUACCCAAAUUACAAGAUCGCCUCAAUUAAGAGUUGCUUGUAAUGGAUAUUGUGAAGUAGAAGAUGCAAUGAACAAGAACAAAAGAAGAAAACAACACAAAUAAGUGAAAGAAAUGUAUACAAGCAAAUACACACUCCAAAACUUAGUCACAAUCUAUUCAAUGUGUUUUCAUCCAAUAAAAAGUAGAACUAAAAAGUAAAAAAUAUAUUUUUAGAUAGGUAAUUUUUUAUCUUUCCAAUGGUGUAAAAAAAUAUAUAAAUCCGAAUUACUAUGAGUAAGUUAUGAAGGUUUGAAACAACAAAAAAGUAAAUAAAAAAUUAAAUAAAAAAUUAAAUAAAAAUAUUUUACCUCAAGGGUAAUUUGCUUAUAGAUCAAGGAUUCGAGCCUCAUCAAGGCUCACAUGUAAUGUAUAAGGGUAUCUAAAGAGGCCUUGAGGGCUUAUUCUUAUCUUCCUACCUAUAUCCAAGGUGUUACAACCCAUAUGGAACUUGUACACCUUCCUUCCUACAAGGACUAGACUAGUUACUCGUCCUCCUAUUUUCUACUAGUAAAACUCAUUUUUUUUUGUAUUUUUGACUUCACCUUAGUGUUUAAAAACACCCAAGUAGCUUAGGAAUUUAAUAUGGCCAUAUAUUCUUACUCCCUUUCUUCAUAAUGGCUUCCAAAGUGAUAAAACUCAUUUUUACCAAGAUCUUAAACAUUACUCCAAAAAAUAUAAAUAAAUUCUAAAUAAAUUCUGGAAAAUCCUAUAAUGUUUUUAUAAUGCUAAUUUCCAUGUAAGGCUAAAUUUUCCUAUCUUAGUGAUUUUUGAUAAUAAUAAAAAUCAAUUUAAAUCUACUAUAAAUCCUAUUUUUGUUUUUUAUACCAAUAACUAAAAUGACAUGAGGUUUUUUCUCAUGUUUCUUCUAACUACUAAAAUUUAUAUUUUUUAUAAGUAGUACAUAUAGAUAGAUGACCAAUAUAAAUUUUUUUCUUAAUAAAUAAUUCUUAUUAUUCAAUAAUAAAUAAAAAUACUAAAUCAACAUAGAUAAUUGCCUCCAAGACUUACUAAGACUCCAUUUCUACCACUAACAUUCUAAUUUUCUAUUUUUCUAAGGAUUUCUAUACUAAUUAAUAUAUAUUAUGAUUUAAAGUAUUAUAAAUGCAUAUUUUUAUCUUAAAACAAUAAGUGAGUCAAUUUGAUGACUUACACUAUUUUUAAAGACAUGAAAUCUAGAAAUAUUUGAAAUAAGACUAAGAACAAGAAAGGUAUUAAUAAAUGUAAAGAGGACCUCAUUCUUGCCUCUAUAUAUACUAUCUAACUAGGAAUUAUAUAACAAUGUUUUGUAAUACUUCUAACUCUUGUUCAACUUACAAAAUAUAUAUCUAACUUAUAAGAAACUUGUCUUAUAAGUUAGAUCAAUUUGUACCAAAAAUCAUCAAUAUAUACCACAAAUCAUCAAUAUAAACAACACAUAGCCUAAUUUUCAAUCUACUAAUCACAUAUAAAUAUGUCUAAAAUCAAAUCCGUAUUUAUAAUACUUUUAAGUAGAUUUUUUAUAAGAUAUUAUCAAAUUUAUUUAUAAUUAGUUACUUCUAUCUAAUUUCUUUAAUUUAGAUAAAUAUAUAUGUCUAUGAUAUUAAUAUUUCUUCUAAAGACCAAUUAUAUAAAGAACAAUAAUCAAAUAUUUGAAAAGUCCAAUAUGCAACAAAUUGUAUUUGCCAUAUACUAAAAAUCUUUAUUUCUUUCAAAGAUAGUUAAUAUGUCUUCUUAAGUAUUGAUAUUAUUUCAUACCAAGGUAAGAAGACCACUCUAUGAUCUAUCAAAGAUGUAAUCUUUUAUAUAUAGACUACAAUAAUGAUCAUGUAUAUACCAAUAUAUAAGAUAUUAUAAUCCAUUUUGGCGUUGCCUUGAGCCUAUGUUAAAGAUAUGAACUCGAAAAAGAUGAAAAAACCUAAAAAAAUUGUAUUAAAAGAAAAGUGACAAAAUAAUAUUACAGUAGUAUGUAUAUUAAAAACAAACUAGAAUAGCUAUUACCAAAUGACAAGAAAACUAAAGAUUCUUAAAUCUACAUUAAAAGUAAGAAAGGAAUCGAUAAAGAUGAAGAGGGCUUCACUCUUGCCUCUAUAUAUACUAUCUAACUAAGAGCUAUGUGGCGAUGUUCUAUAAGACCUCUAAUAUAUGUUGACUUUGCAAGACACAUGCCUUGACUUACAAGAUAAGUUUUGUAUGUGUGGGCUACAUAAUUAGCUUGUUAUUCAAGCUACCAACAUAUGUAGCACAUGGCCAACUUGUUGACCACAUUUUUAACCUAAAAAGUCAAUUAUAAACACUUAUAAAGUCAAAACAAUGUCUAUAAAGCUUCUAAGAAGUUUUUAUAGAAGAUAUUAUGGAAUUAAUUUAUUUUUAUUUAUUUUUAUUUAAUCAUAUAGGUAAUUAUUGGUUUACAUGUAUAUAUCCAUGACAUUAUUUUCUUUCAAGAAAUAAGUUCUAUAAAGAGUGGUCAUUAUAUGUUGAGAAAUCUCAAGAUCUGGCAAAUUGUAUUUGCCAUAUACUCUGAUCUUUGUUCUCUUCAAAGAUGGUUGAUAGGACCUCUCAACCAUCAAUAGUAUCUUAUACCAUGGUAAGAAGACCACCAAAUUAUUUGAUCGUUGUUGAGGCUUUCAUAACUUCCUUCAAAUAAAAUAUUUAGAGCAUCAUUAAGAGUUGUUCGUACCUUUAGUAAAAUUAUCAAACAUUGAGAGUUCCUUUUAAGGUCAUGAUACCAAACACAUCGUAUCUUGCCAUCUAUUCAAAGAAGAACAUAUUGUUCUUGAGGAUCUUCAUCUCAAUUGCAUCAUCUUGAAGGUUGAAACAAUCGCAAUAUCUCAUCUGACAAGUUAGCAAAUUAAGGCUGUUGAAUCAAAUUUAUUGGUUGUUGGUUCUCCAUUUCGUUAAUGUCACAAAUAUACAAGAACUACAAACAAAAAUAGAAGUUAGAAUGCAAUCUUUCUUAGACCUUUUUUCUUUUAUAAUAAAGACUUACUAUUUUUAUCUUGAUUUUGAUAGAUGUCAUUGAUAAAAAAGUCUCUACUACCUUUGCUAUAUUUGCAAGAUUCUUUAUUGGCUUCCAUGUGCAUUCAUUAAUAUCAUAUUUGCACCAAUGGACAAGAUAUUUCAAUUUAUUCAGGUGUCGCCUUGAGUCUAGAACUUCUUCUACUUCAAACACUUUAUUAUUAUUCACUUCUAAAUGAAGAAGUAGACCUUGUCUUCUUCUUGGUAUGUUAACAAUCUUAUAUGAUUCAAGAAGAAAUACGUGGAAGACAAGAUGGAUCUUCAUUGACUCCGGUAGGUAUAAUCAAUAAGCAACUAGAUUGAUUUAUCUACAAAUAGGAAAAGAUCUAAGCUUGCAAUAGUCUAAUUUAUCACAAGGAUGAGUAUUCUUGAUAUUAUGACAAAGUAAUCAUAUCUUUUUACCUACAUUGAAUUGUGGUUAUUUCUUUUGAUAGGCAUCCACAUUGAUCUUUUGUUGUUCUUGAGCUUCUUUUAAUUGCACCUUUAUUGUUGCAUGUAGCUCUAACGAAUGAUUUGUCAAACCUUCUGCCAUAAGAUUAUCAACUUUUGAAAAGUCAAAAAUAUCAAAUCAUGGAUAGUAACUAUAAUUGAUAAAAAAAAAAGUGUUUAUUACAUAGAAGAAUGCAUUGUAUUAUUAUAAGUAAACUCUGCCAAUUGUAAGAGGGUUCUCUAAUCGUCUUAUUGAUAAUUGAUGGUAUACUAUAAGUAUUACUCCAAAACUUGGUUUAUAUGCUUUGUUUAUCUAUCAGUUUAAGGAUCAAAAGUCAAAAAAAUAUUUAUGUCUACCUUUAGAAUCUUAAAAAAAAUUCUCCAAAAUCUUGAUACAAAUUGAGUCCUCCUAUCGGAUAUAACAUGUUUUGACAAUAUAUAAUAUUGAUAGAUAUUGUCAAAGAAAAGCUUAGCAGUUUCUUCACCUAUAAUAGAUUUUGUGCAUGUUACAAAAUCUGCCAUUUGAUAAAACGAUCUACUAUCACAAAUAUAGAAUCACACUGUCCUGAGAUUAGAAGCUCCACAAUAAAAUCCAUGGAAAUAGAAGACUAUGAUUGUUCUAAUAUAGGUAAUGGCUGAAGAAGUCUAUAAAGUCGGUGACAAGGAGUUUUUGACUUUAAACAAAUAUCACAUAAUUGAAAAAAUUCUUUUACAACCUUUUGUAUUUGGGGCCACCAAAAAUCUUCGAAUAUUAGCUCCAAAGUCUGAUUCUAUCUAAAAUAUUGUGCUGCUAGAAAGAUGUGAUGUACUUGAACAACAUGUUGUCAUGAUAAAAUACCACCAUAUAGUGAAAUUAUAAUCAAAAUUGAAUUUCUAAUUAAUAUCUAAUUAUCUUAAUUCAAUUAGAAUUUGAGGUGUCUAAACAUGACUUUUAUGAAAGCCUCUUAGGUUAUUUUCUAAUCUUAAUAGUUAGUAAGUUGAAAGUUAGUUAGUAAUUUUACCUUCUAAGUUGUAGAGAUUCUUCUACUAUCUUAGAAAGACCAUAAAUUAAUAAAAUCAGAUUAAAAGAGGUAAAUAAUUAAUAUAGUAGAUACUAGGAUUAAGUUGAGAGUAGGAUUGGACUAAAAAAUCCUUAGGAUAGAUUAGAUUGAUACCCAAGGGUCGGUCGUUUUUGAGAUAGAAUCAAAAUCAGACCUGUGGCCACAAAAACAACUGCUUAGGGCAAAAUAGGGAUUCAUUCAAAGAUCGAAGGAUAGGAUUUGAGAGCUAGCUUGAAGUUCUUUCCAAAGGCAUAAGGAUUUUUUUUGGAAGAUUUUUGAGGACUUAGAAAUUAUUGUUCAAAGUCAGGAUUUGUAUUGGUGAUUAGGAUUUUAUAUAAUAUAAUUAGGGCUAGCAAUUUUGGCUAUUUUGUGCAAUUGAUGUAACAUCUAUAAUUAAAAAUUUGAUAUUAUUUGGAUUAUUAGGUGUGCUAAUUAUAUACAAAAUUUUGUGAUAAUCUAACAAUGUGAUUUAGAGAUAUCUGGUUUUUAGCACAAGAGGGUUUUGAAAGUUGGCAAUUUGAGGUUGGGUAGGGUUUCUAUGAUAUCUAAAGUUCUAUCAGUUGGAUCAAAGUGAAAUUUGGCACGGUGUUGAAGGACUUGAAGAUCGAGUUGUAUACUAAUUUUGAGUUAAAGUUAAUGGUUGGAAAGGGAGAAAUCACUACUGGGAUUUCUGUUUCACUUUUCAAAUUGGUAGCCAAGUAAUAUCAGUGCAAUUUUUGGAGGUUUUUUUACAAUUUGUAAGUUGGAUUGGAUUAAAAAUUCUUGAGCAUAUAGAAGACUUGCAUUGACAAUUACAUGCAAAAUUUUACAUCAAGUGGAUAGUCGGAUUGGAUGUUAGAGCUUCUUAAAGCUCACUAAUUAGAAUUGGAGCUUACAAGAAAAAUCUAAAUUGCUUAAAUAUGAAAGUAACAAGGUAAUUGGGUUUUGUGUAUAGUUAAGGCUACUAAGAAGAGUAUUUUUAGUACUUUUGAAUUGAAAUUUAGAUUAUUUUUCUUCUUGUAUAGAUGAAAUCUAUUAAGAUUUUUUGGAUACUUGUGAAACACAACCUCAUCUUCCACAACUAGAUGCCUAGUGUAUUUCCAAGCAAGACAACAUAUAAUAUGACAAUAUAAAUAUACUUCUCUUUUUGGUACAUACAAGCAUCAUUCAAAAUAAAAUAGGUUGUUUCUGAACUUGAAUUUAGAAGUAUCACAAGACUUAUAAGAAAUAUUCUUAAUAUCAUGAAUAAAAAGAUCAGAGGACAUACUUGAAUUUGUUUUAGAAAAGUUGACUCAAUAGUCAAUUUUGAUUUCACUGCUCGAAGAUGAAAUUAUUCUAGCUUCAAUAAAAUUAUCCUUUGUUGAUUAAAAGUUACAUUUCAUUCUUUAGGUAUAAGAUAAGAAUGUCUAAAAAGGACAUUGAACAAAUCUUGUUGUUUUUCUACUUGAUAAGUAAUAUUGAACUAAAAUCUUGAUAAAGACAUGCUUCAAUGACUCUAGCGACAAUUCAAAAUAUGAGCUGACAUGAAAUACUCAAGGUUCUUGUGAUCCAUAUAUACAAUGUUGAAGUAGAGAGAAUUUUCCUUAAGAAAGCGUUGGGCUUCUAGCUGUCACAAAAUGCUCAAUCAAGCCUCUAAAUAAAAGAAACACCAAGUCUAUAUAUAAAAUUGUCCCUAUAGGGGCAAUCAUAUCAAUAUAGAAGCCUUGAAUACCAAAGAUUACCAAAAAUGUGAUAAAAAUAUCAUAAAAAACUUGUAUAUCCUUAAGGUAAAUUCUUCUUGAACUUCAACAAUUCAUAUCUCACGAUCAAACUAUCCAAACAAAUCCAAAUUUUAUAUGAAGUACUAGUGUAUUUUUGACAACUACUACAAUAAAUUUCAAUUAUAAAUUUGUUACGAAUCUUGAGAUAUUACCAAAACUCUAACAAUAGCUUUAAAUCCUAAAUCUUACAAUCAUUGCUUCUAAUUCUCAAAUAUUCCUUAUGAAGUUGCCAAAUCCCUUGUUAUGGGCACGGACAGCCUGAUGAAUGUCCAUUGAGCAUGGCCUUUGAUCAAUAGAAAUAAAGAUCUUUACCUUUUGCCUUCAUCUGAUUAUGCCUUGAUUUCAUCCCUCUCCAUAAGCCUCCUAGUAGUUUAGAUUUUCAUCCUUAGGCUUCCACCUUCUCUUAAAGCUUUAUACUAAACAUUUAAAUUUUAUAUAAUUUAAAUACUUAAUAAAAAUAGAUAAAAUUUAAAAUAAAUUUUCUUAUAUCCACUAUCUUUAAAUUAAUUUAUUAACCAUUCUAACACACAUCAAGACUUAUGAAUAUAAAAUAUAUUUUAAUUAAUUUUUAUAUAUUAUAAGAAUUUACAAUACAACAAUAGUAAUUAGAUUAGAAACACCUUCUAGAUAAUGAUGCCAUUUUCAAAAAGAAUCCACAAUUGCAAGAAGAUCUUUUUCAUGAAUGUCAUAGUUAAGCUUGACUUAUGAGAAUUUUUUGGAAUAAAUAGCUACUAGGUGAACUUUAUCAUGUAUUUCCAUUUGUGAUAAUAUGACACCCAAAGAAAAGUCCGAUGCAUAUGUUUCUAUAAAGAAUACCUUAGAAAAAUCAACGCAAUACAAAAUAGGUGCAAGAAUAAGGUUGUCUUUAAAGCUUCAAAUACUACUUCUGCUUCUUAAUUCCAUUAAAGUUUGUCUUUACAAGUCAAACGUGUAAGUAAAGGUGCAAUUUGAAAGAAUCCUUGAUGAAAUUCUAAUAGUAAUUGGAAAAUUUCAAAAAACAUUGGACAUCUCGAAUCAUUUUUGGGAUCUUCCAAUCUAUAAUAGUUUGAACUUUCUUAGGAUCCAUCAUAAGUACAUCAUUUGAAAUGAUGUAACUUAAGAAGUCAACUUGAGUAGUGUGGAAUAUACACUUUUCUAUCCUAGCAUAGAGACCCCCAUCUCUUAAUUUUUCUAAGACAUGAUAAAUAUGAAGUUUAUAUUCUUUUUUGUUUUUAGAAUAUAUCAAGAUGUCAUUUAGAUAACAUACAAUAAGAUUGUCCAAAAAUUCUCAAAAAACAUCAUUCAUAAGAUGUUGAAAAGCUGCGGAUACAUUUGUAAGUCCAAAAGGCAUGACAUUAUAUUCAAAAUGUCUAUAUCUGGUUUGAAAUUCAGUCUUCUAUUCAUCUCUUUUUUUGAUGCAUACAAAGUUGUAUACUCCUUGUAGAUCUAUUUUUGUAUAGAUCUUAGUUUAAUUCAACUGAUUAAGAAGUCCAGAUAUUAAAGCUAGUGAAUACUUAUUCUUGAUCCUGAUCUUAUUCAGUCUUUGAUAAUCAACAUACAUCUGCAAUGAUCCAUCGUUUUUCUUCACAAAUAGAAUUGAGACUCUUGUUGGAGAUUUGGAAUGGCAUAUGAAGUUCUUGGCUAGAUUCUCUUUAAUAUAUUCCUUGAGUUUGGCCAACUCAUUUUGUGAUAAAUUGUAGAUUGGUCCAAAUGGUGGUUGUGCUCUUUCUUAAAGAUCAAUUGAACAAUCAUAGAAACAAUAUUUUGAAAGAGUAUCUGCAUUCUUUUUUUCAAAUACAUCUUGAAAUUCUUGAUAUUGACUUGGAAUGCCUCUUGAAGUCUUUGCACCAUUAGAAAUAGGUGGCAUAAAUGACAUAAGGUGAUCUUUUUUUUGCAGCAUGCAAGAAAGUUCUUGCAUCUACAAACAUAGGUUUAAUUAUACUAGACUUGUAGUUUUCUACUUGAUUAACUUCAAUCUUAAUUAUAUUUUAUUAAAAAAUUGAGAAUACAAAAAAUCCACUUUAUUCGAGUAUUGUAUUUUUUUAACUACAAUAAACAUAAAAUGAUUGGAUUAGACAUAGAUUUAAUGAUAUUAAAUACUACAAAGCUAUUAUGACUAUUGAUUAUUACUUCUAUAGGAAGGAUUUUGUGAGUAACAUCUCCAAAAGACAAUAGACGACCAUCUAUAAUUCUUAUAUAAACAAGUUUAGUUUUUCUUAUUAAAGUUAUGCUAAGUCUUUUAGUAAAUUCUUCAUCUAAGAAAUACAUUGAGGCUCCUAAAUCUAACAAGGCAGAGACUAUGUAAUGUAUAGGUUCUAAAAUAAUAUUUAAUAUAAAACAAAAAGAGAGUUGUGAAGAGAGAAUAAGACCUUUAUUAGGUUUUGUACAAGGUUCCAACUACAUGGUCCCUAUUGUAGCUAAACAAACUUGUUUUCCAAUAUAUUAUCUUCUUUGACAUUCAUAUUCCCCAUUUUAUAAUUGAGUCACUUUUUUGGACAAUAUUGAGCGAUGUACUUAGAUUCUCCAUAAUAUAAGUAUAAUUCUUCUUUACAAUGAUGAGUCUUUUCUUGCUUAGUAAGAGAUUUAAAACAUACCGCAUCAAGUUGGAUAUCCUCUAUUUCCAAAUGUAUGUAUUGAAGAGGAAUUGAUGUUGCUAUUGAAUUAUAGUAACAUUAAAAUCUACUUGUCUAACUCUGAAAUCAAAAUUUGAAAAAUCAAUUGUCACACUUCAUAACAAAAUUAAUUGCUUGACUCAAUAUUUGAGGAUCAAGUAAGUUGAGUAUCAAUUUCUUUAUCUGAUAUUAUAAUCCAUAGAAAAAUUUGCUAAUAAGUACAAAAUCAUUUCACUUAAUAUUAGUUACAAGUUGUCAAAAUUGUGAAAUAUAUAAUAUUACAAAUUGAUUGCUUUAUCAUAAAAUAUGAAUCUUAUUGGUUAAAAUACAAAUUAUAUCAUAUUUUCCAUACAUGGAUCAAAACUCUAUCAAGAAAGCCUCCAAAUUAUCAAGUAUUGGAUCUCGUCUUUUAAGAAAAAAUAAAAAUCAUGAUAAUGCUAAACUUAAAAGAAAUGUAUCAAUGAAUCUAACUUAUGAUCUUCGAGUUGGAUAGCUUUGGAAUUGAAGUUCAAUCAAAAAUUAUACUUGAUUGAUAAAUCUUCAAAACUUGGAUCUUAUGCCAUCAAACUUCUCAAGCAAAGUAAUUCUUGGUUCUCUAAUACUAAAAAGAUGUUCCACUUUAGGAGAAAGGACAUGAUUUGGUGCAGAUAUUGAAAUACCUUCAAUCAUAUCUAUAUCUUCACUUCUUGCCAUUCUUGUUGCUCCUUGUGGUAGUAAACUGAGUUGAUGCAUCGUAAGCAUUAAUUUCCUCAAUUAUUCUUGUAUUUAUACUAUUGCACUUUUAAUUUCAAUAAGCUCUGCUAUAAUAAUACUUGAAAAAUAAAUAUCUAAUAUUUAUCAAGACAAGUAGAAGAUGGGACUUAAAAACAAAAAAGAUACUAUGAACAAUAUUAAAUUAGAAGAGGGUAUUAUGCAACUUCUAACAAACUUAUGUCUUAUCAAGAAAAAAAGGUAAUCACUCUUAAUUAAGAAAAGAUAAAGCUCUAAUAUUAUAAGUGUAACCUUAUUAAUUUAUCAAGGAUAUGAAUUAAAAAAAGAUGCAAAAAUCUAGAAAAUUUGUAUUAAAAGAAAAGUGAAAAAAUAAUAAUAAAAUAGUAUGUAUAUUAAAAAAUAAAAUAGAAUGGCUAUUGCCAAAAGACAAAGAAACUAGAGACUCUUAAAUCUAGAUUAGAAGCAAGAAAAGAGUUCAUAAGGAUGAAGAGGACUUUACUUUUGCUUCUAUAUAUAUUAUCUAAUUAGGAGAUAUGUGGCAAUGUUCUGUAAGACCUUUAAUAUGCAUUGACUUUGCAAGACACAUACCUUAGCUUAUAAGACAAGUUUUUUAUGUGUGGAUGACAUAGUUAGCUUAUUCUUCAAGCUAUCAAUGUAUAUGGCACAUAGCCAACUUGUUGACCAUGUUUCUAACCUAAAAAUUCAAUUAAAGAUACCUAUAAAGUCAAAAUAGUGUCUAUGAAGCUUUUAUGAAGUUUCAAUAAAAGAUAUUAUGGAAUUAAUUUAUUUUUAUCUAUUUUUAUCUAAUUAUAUAGAUAAUUAUUGGUUUAUAUGUAUAUGUCCAUGACAUUAUCUCUCCUUCAAGGAUAUCAAAAAUUUCUUGAUAUCAGCUUUAAUAUCUUAUUAUAUCUAAAAUGUCUCAUAGUUAAAAUAUUAUAAUGAGAUUAAAGAGCAUGUAAUCAUGUUUCACCAUCUAAAAUAUAUAAGCAUUCCUUAAAAUAGAGAUGAUAUUUAAAAAUUAAUAUUAUAAUUAAAAAGAUUGUAGAAUAAAUUGGAUUAAAAUUGAUCCAAAAAUAUUGAAUUAAUCAUUAAUAUUGAUUUUAUAGCUCAAAAAUAAAAAUUCUUUAGCUUCAAAAGAAUUGUUUGUUGUUAAUCAAAAGUUGCAUCUCUUUCUUUUGACACAAAAUAAAAAAUAUUUAAAAAAAGUGUCAGAUAAAUCAUAUUGUUUUUUUUAGUAAUUAAUCUUGUAUUUAAAUCUUCAUAAAGAUAUGCCCUAAUGGAUUUGGUAGCGUUUCAAAAUGUACCUUGAUAUAAAAUACUUGAACUUCUUGUGACAUGUAUAAAUAGUAAAAUAAAAGUAUUUUCUAGAUAAUAACACCAUUCUUAAAAUGAAUUAAAAAUUAAUAAGAGUUCUUUGUUGUAGAUUUUAUAAUUAAUCAUAAUUUCUAAAAAUUUCUUUAAAUAAAAAAUUAAUUAGUAAAGAUUGUCAUUUAUUCUUAUUUGAGCUAAUAUUAUAUCUAAAGAUAAUUCUUAUAUCUUUAUUUUUAUAUAAAAAUGAAUUAAAAAAAAUUGAUACAAUAUAAAUUUGGUGCAAAAAUAAAAGUUGUUUUUGAAGCUUCAAAUGUUGUUUCAGAUUCUUUAUUCCACUCAAUUUUUUUUUACAAGUCAAAUGUAUAAGAAGAGUUUCAACUUGAGAAAAGUUCUUGAUAAAAAUUUAAUAUCCAUUAGAAAAUUUCAAAAAAUAUUACACGUCUUUUAUUGUUUUUGGAAUUUAUUAAUCCAUAACAAUUUAAAUUUUUUUUAAAUCUAUUAUAAAACUAUCAUUUGAAAUAAUGUAUCCUAAAAAGUCAACUUGAAUAGUCAGAAAUAUACACUUUUCUAUCUUGAUGUAUAGUCUUAUAUCUCUAAAUUUUUGUAAUACAUGACAAAUAUGAAAUUCAUGCUCUUUAAUGUUCUUAUAAUAUAUUAAAAUAUUUUUUAUAUAAUAAACAAAAAAAAUCAUCUAAAUUUUUUUUAAAAUAUCAUUUUUAAGAUAAUAAAAAAUAAUUGACACAUUAGUAUGUCUAAAAGAUAUGACAUUAUAUUCAAAAUGCUCAUACUUAGUUAAAAUGUAGUCUUUUAUUUAUUUAUUUUUAUAAUAUAUAUCUUAUAAUAUACUUUUCAUAGAUCUUUUUUUCUAUAGAGCUUUAUUAAGUUGAAUUGAUUAAGAAGUCUUGAUAUCAAAGAUAAAAGAUAUCUAUUCUUCAUGAUAAUCUUGUUGAAGCUUUAAUAGAAUGAGAUUGUUGAAGCUUUAUCUAUGAAACAAGAUUAUCAUGAAGCUUUAAUAGAAUGAGAUUGUUUUUAUAAAAAUUAAAAUUUAAUCUUUGUUAUAUAAUUUUAAAUAAAUUUUUCUAAAUGUAGCCAUAAACACUUUUAAGAAUGAAUUUAGAUCAUAAAAGAAUAAUAAAAAAAAAAUCCAUCAAAUAUACAAAUUAAAAAAAAUACUUCCAUAUAAAAGUGUACCUAUAAAUCUAACUUGAAUAAAUCCAUCAGAAUAUUCAGAUAUAUAUAUAUAUAUAUAUAUAUAUAUAUAUAUAUCUUUAGAAAAAACUUGAUUUAUUCUAAAAAUCCUUGAAAUUUUGAUCUUAUUCCAUCAAACUUAUCUGACAUACUAAUCAUUGCCUCCAUCAUACUUAUAGUAAUAAGACUUCUUGGAUUCAAUUAUGAAAUUGAUCUACUUACUUCUUUUAAGUGCAUAAUUUCUUAUCAUAUUGAACUUCAUUGUUAAUUUUUUUUAUAGAUAUAAAAAUAAUACUCCAUUGGUUGAUGUUAAUAAUACAUAAAAUUUCUACCUAAAGAGUGUUGACAAUCUUAUGAAGACUUGUAAUAGUUGCAAAUCUAUUCUUACUUUUAUCAAGUGUAGUAUUUAUAAAUUUAUUUUUUAUUUUUAUAAUAGAUAAUUUUAACAAAUUCAUAAGUCAAAUUAGAGAAGGAUAAUUUUUAAUCUCUAAUAUCAAAUAAUGAUUUUUCAAUGAGAAAUAAUCCACUUUUUUUAAUAAGUUUAAAAAAUAAAUAAAUAAAAGAUAGUCUAUAAUCUUUAAAAUGCAAUAAUAGGAGAUAAUUUAUUCUUUUCUAAAAAAAUAAGAAUAGUAAAUUAGAAUUCUUGCCAAAUUAUCAAGGAUAUAAAUAAAUAAAUUUAAAAAUAAAUAAUAAAUAAAUAGUAAAUAAAAAUCAAUAGACUCUUGCAUUAUUGUCAAGGACAUGAAUUGGAAGAAGAUGCAAAAAUCUGGAAAAGCUAUGUUAAAAGAAAAGUGAAAAAAAUAGCAAAAAAAUAGUAUAUAUAUAUAUAUAUAUAUAUUAAAAAAAAAAAAAAAAAAAAAAAAAAAAAAAAAAAAAACCCUUUGGCCAAAGGACAGAAAACCUAAGGCCCCUUCCUCCAAGUUAAAAGCCAGAAAAGGGUUUGAAAGGGAGAAAAAAGGUUCCCCCCUGGCCCCAACAUAACUUAUCAACUUGGGAGCUAUGUGGCGAUGUUCUAUAGGACCUUUAAAUAUGUGUUGACUUUGCAAGACACAUGCCUUAGCUUAUAAGGCAAGUUUUCUAUGUGUGGGCCACAUAGUUAGCUUGUUCUUCAAGCUACCAACAUAUGUGGCACAUAGCCAACUUAUUGACCACGUUUCUAACCUAAAAAAUCAAUUAAAGAUAUCUAUAAAAUCAAAGUUGCAUCUAUAAAGCUUCUAUAGAAGUUAUUAUGGAAUUGAUCUACUUUUACCUACUAUUAUUUAAAUCAUAUAAGUAAUUAUUGAUUUAUAUGUGUAUGUCCAUGAUAGUUAUUAGAAAAGAGUAUAUAAUCACUCAAAGAUAGUAUAAUAUUAAGAUUAGAAUGGCUAUUGCCAAAGAUAAGAAAUUUAAUGCUUCUUAAAAUAAGACUAAGAAUAAAAAAGACAUUAACAAGAAUGAGGAAAGCAUCACUCUUGCCUCCAUAUAUAUUAUCUAAUUAGAAGUUAUGUGGCAAUAUUCUAUAAAACCAUUAACACAUGAUCAACUUGCAAGACAUGUGUCUAACUUGCAAGAUAAGUUUCCUGCAUGUGUGCUACAUGGCCAAUUUGUACCAAAAGUUAUGAACAUUUACAACACAUGGUUAAUUUAUCGACCAAGUUUUUAACCUACCAAUUACCAACAAACAUGUCUAAUGUCAAAUUUGUAUCUACAAAGCUUCUGACAAGUUUUUUCAUAAGAUAUUAUCAAAUUUAUUUAAGUAUAUUAUUUCUAUUUAAAUCCUUUAAUCCAGAUAAGUAUGUAUGUCGAUGACAUCUUAUUAAGUUGAACCUUCAUACAUAUCACCAACAAUCUCAAUUUCAUCCUCUUUAUCAUUACCAAUUCAAUUACACCUCCACCUCUACAUUCAUACUCUAUUCAUUGCACCAUCUUUAGUUUUGCAUCCCACCACCUCCACAUCUUCUCAUCUUAUAGAUGUACUCUGCCUCAAACAAGAGCAACUUACAUACAUUUAAAACAAAAAUAUAAGUUUUCUUGCUCUUCAUGCCCAUUUCUAAAGGCUGGAAUUCAUAGGGUCUUGUAUUGUGACUACCUUAUCUUUUAAUAAGUAUACCUUUGAAUUGCAUUACCAUACAUUAUUUUAGUUUUUUUGCAUAAAUUUAAAAAAUAAUCAUCUAUAGAGGUUAUAAAUUAAGUCAAAUACUUUUGGAAAUAGACUGUAACUUCACAUCAAGAAAGAAAGCCAUAGAGUGAAAGAAAAAGAUUGUGUGUGUGUAUAUAUAUAUAUAUAUAAAUGUGUAUUCACCAUACACAAACCAGAACUGUAGAUGCAGAAUGGACUCUUAACUUGCACAACUUGGUUGUAAGGCUGCCGUAGAGGUGUCGGCAUUCGUUGACUUCUGUCAAUGCACAACCCUCAAAGACCACAGCCAGGCCAAUUCGAGAGUUGGCAUUCGAGUUUCCAUAGUUGAUUCUAAUCUCAUGUCCUUAGAUUUGCACCUGUCAUCACUUUGUGGUGUCAGUGAGCUAAAUCUCACGUCGGUGGAGCUUGGUGUGAAAUCAGACAGCAACGGUGACAAAUGUGGAUUUAGGUUUGCAGGAGAGGGAGUGCUAGUAGGUCGAGGAGAAAUCAAGGAUGACUCUGUAGCUUGGAGCUCCAACGUAUGGAGCGACUCCGAAUCUGGGCAAGCUCUAAUCAAAGCUGAAAAUACUCCACCUACCAUUAUCAAUACAUUAAGGAAUGAUACUCAUGAUUGGUCGUUGUUUCUUCACAUGUAUGAGUUCAAUGAACAAGAUAGUUUGGCUACACCUUGGAUAAAACUAACCCUGUUAAUGCCCGUGGGCAUGUUUGGAAACUAAAAUAAGGUAGAAAGUAAUUUAGUGAUUCAGUUAGAAAUCACAUCUCUCGACUAAAAUUGAGAAUGCAUUAGAACAAUUCCUACAAACUUGUAUGGCCCAUAGAGAAAUGAAAGAUUGGGCAAACACCAAAACAUAGAGCCGCUACAGUUAUCACUUCUGAACAUUCAAAAUGAGGAGAGUAUGGUGCAAAAUGUUUAUAAAUACAAGUAGAUAGAGUUACUGCUGAUUCCCAAUAAAGCAUCAUUCCAGAAGCACCUACUCUAUUGAUGGCCCAGAAGUCAUCAACUAGGUACUGCAAGUAAGUGUGAACAACAAAUCGUCUAAAAGCUCCAAGUUCGCCUUUUCAUAUACAAGAGUAGAUACAAAGUCCGAUGGGCACCAACUGCCACAAUCAAAGCUCACCACUAUAUGCACCUUCCAACCUCUGAAGUUCAAUAAAAUGUAUAGAUGGUUCUUUAAUAAAAAGAAAAUCAGAUCUCUGGUAUUACACGUAGGAGAGAGGUCCUGACCGGAACCUGCCAAGUGGACUCCUGGUGCUUGAUGGAGCCGGCUCUGGAGGACCACGCCCUUCGGCGAAGGACACCUUUCGACUAUAAUCCAAAGGACCAGAGAAUCGGUUUGCUUUUCUGCGAGGCUUACCAUCUGGUCCUAGUUCUCCAGAAGGUUCAACCUCAGGACGCUUGUGCUGGCCAGCAAAUUUAAUGGGACCAGAGAAGAUUGACCCUCUGGAAGUCUGUUGAAGAUGAAUUUCGCUAGGCUCUGCAGAUGUAUCACCCUGGCUUUUGAUGGGGCCUCCAUUACCUGCGUAUUGUCGUGUGGAAGGAUGGACAUGUACGAGACUGGGAACUGAAUUCUCGAAAUACAUUUGGUAGAUUGAGCGCAUGAUUGUAUGUGGAACGUAGCCCUCAAGAGUGCUACGAGGUAAGUAGUUUGUCAGUUCACAAAGCUGAUCCAGAAAGAUCAACUUCGCGACUAGUGGGCUCCUGCAGCAGUAUAAACAUCAGUAUAAGUAUCAGUAUGAAAUUGGCUUUACGAUUACAAAAUGAGCUGAUUAUAAACCGAUAUCUAGUCUGUAACACCUCUAGUUCAGACCCAAGCUUGAUAAGACAAAACGAGUACGUGAAAGGAUAGUUAAAAUGUUAACCAAAGGCUAUGGAAAGAGCAUACCUAUGCGAAUCAUCCCAAGAUUCAAGCACUGUGGCAACGGCACACUGCAAAAAUGUUUUCAUAGAGGCCUUGAUACUUAUGUUUACAUCCGCUCUAGUCUCUACACCUUGGACACCAUCUUCUCCCAUACUGCCAUUUCUUGGAUCUAAUGUUAGCCGGUGCUGCUCUCUACGCUCUGAUCGCACCCACUCAUUCGCAAUCAUUACAGCGUUUAUGCACCUGUUCAUCAAAAAUUACCAAGAUUAAAUGACAAGCAUAAGUAGGAAUGUGCAAGAGGGAAAUAAAAAAGUAGUUCAAUCAACAGCCAAAUUUACUCUAACAUCUUUAAAAUACAGAAACACUUCCUGUCAUAGUUAUCAUAUGCCAAAAAGCAGGUUGCGAAAGUAACACCUGGCUAGACAAUGGACAUUUGAUGUGAAUCCGCCAGUAAGCACACUGAAUGUAGUGGAGUUCCAAACGUUUGAGUUCAUGCACGCAACAAAAAGAAAUGGCAGAAGCCCCCACGUUGGAUCCCCGGCUCCUUCCAUAUUGUUCAAAAUGCUGUGAAUCAUCACAGCAUCACCUUCUUCAAGUUCAACAGCACCCACACGACUGGAUACACGCUUCAAUCUCAGGAGAUUGGGUUUCUCGGGAAUAGUUGCAGGAGCAUGUUUGCAGAAGUCGGUCAAGAGAGAAAAGAGGAGUGGGGUGUUGGUCCUUAGCACUUGACCUGUGGCCUCUGCUAGAAGAGCCCGCAUGCUAAGCAUGUGACCUAUCCGCAUCGCGUUUGACAUGAGAAUUUCCAACUCAACGAUCUGAAGCAACAUAUUUUCACGAUGACUUUUACUGUGCAAGUUCCCAGCUAAAGAUUCCAAAAUCUCCUUAUUUGAGCGCAAAAAGGUAUCAAGAGUAUCUACAAGAACUGUCAACUGUUCGAGCAAACUAUUGCAUAGCUUAUCAACGCCAUAAGGACCAAAGAUCCGCACAAAAGCCUUCAGCUCUGCCAAAUCUGCCACCGACUCUGCAGCUACCCGACCAAUAGGUCGGGUGCUCUUGAAACACUUGUCCAAAGGAGAAAAAAUAACUCCAGAAGCCUUAGCAUCCCGCAACAAAUUCUCUACAUACCAAUCUGCAAUUGUACAUACUGCCUCACCACCAGCACCCACUUCACGGUCGUCAGGGUGAAGGUCUUCCAUAUGUCUCGCAAACGACUCGGUUAGAAGGACUUCUCUGACACCUCGUGUUAAAUCUAGCUGCACAUGCUGUUCCACGAGAUGUACAAUGCUCAUAUGCCGCUGCAGUCGUGCCUCCACUACAGACGGCCGUUGAAGUUCACCAUUCGUCAUGAUUAUACUUUUCAGACGCGUCCGGAAAUUCUUCAUAAUUCGGUCUCUUAAGUACUGGAAUUACGGCAUACAUUUAAGCAGAUAUUCAGUGUUUAGUAGGUAUUCGAAGCACGAAUAGCAGGUGGGCACUGGAUUAAGAGCAAAAAAAAAUUCGGAUAUAAGUAUGUUCUACAAAAUCUACGUAAAAUACUUACCUCUCGUGGCACAAACAUAUGAUUUAGAACCCGCAAGGGUUCCAUUUCAUUCAGCACUGAACACAGGCUAGUGAGUCUCUGGACAGCGGCCUCCAACCUGGACAAAUACCAAACAAAAUUUGAAUGGUGCACGACUUUUAGACCAAUCAGCAAAUAGAAAAUGUGCGAGUUAACAUAACAGUACUUGAAACGCCCACAUUGAUUGUGCAUUUACAUUUUGAUGGAGCCCCUGUGAAUUGGUUCACUUUCAAAUCCAGGCAAAGGAAAAUCCACCAUUCCAUUGACAUUCUUGAUUCCAUAAAUGCCAGCCCUAGAUAACUGGUUCAGACGUAGGGCAGCUUGCUCGAGAAGAAGCUGCACAUGUCCGAGUCAAAAGACUUGGAGGUUAACCACCAGCAGAAAAAAAGUCGCUUCUGACCCAAAGAGUAACAAAACUCCUUACGAUGAAACACACAAUGAAUGAAAACUUAAAAUGAACAAGGGAAUAAAAAUAAAGUUAAAAUAACCAAAAUUCUUCAUAUAGAAGAAAGUACCUGUCGAAUUUACAUGCAGAGACUUACCUUAUUAUCAAGAGAACCAUAACCUCCUUCAGAAUCUAAGAUGUUGAUGAGACCCUCCAAGCCCCCCAUGACUGAAUCAAGGAUAGACUCUGCAUAUGAGACUGCGUCCCUAGCAAACGUCGGCAGCUGUUCAACACAAGUGCAUAACCACAUAUCAGCGCCUUUUUUUGGUUCAAAAUGACAAUGCUCAGUUAAACUGUACAUCAUUAAAGAGACGGUGUUAGCAAGAUGAGGCUGGACCUCAUCAGGAACAUUCGGGUGCGCGUUAUCUGAAAACGUGCACGCAAGACUAAGCCAAGCACAGCAGUGCUGCGGUCGACCUUCAGGUCCAAACAUUGUAUGCCGGAAAACCUGCAGCAGGCAGCGUCAUUGUCAGAUAAAUUAUCAAUAGACAGAUUUGUAACUGAGCAUGAAAUAGUAAUCCAUUUGACAAUAGAGUACUCACCGCUGUGACAUCAGGCCGAUAGAAGUACAACAUUUUAAGUGAUGCAUGUUGCAAAAUCUGCUUGUCCAUUUCAUCCACACUCCUGUAACAUCCCAAUUAGGAAAUAUGUCAUAAAUCAAAAGAAAGGAAUACAAUAGCAUCAUUGACAAAAAUAAAAAAUAAUAAAAAUAAAAAAUAAUAAUGUAUGAUAACUUUUAGAACCCAGGAUUGACUGCGCUAGUAUCAUCCUGUAUGGCUCUAUACGCCACUGUAGUAAGAGAAGAGCAAUUAUCGUCUAAUUCAGAAAUUGGAGGGCAAAAGUAUUUACACCUUGACCAUAGGUACGCGAGGUUGCCCUCAGAAACAAUGCUAUCGUUGCCUGUAGAUACAGUUGCCUUAUCUAAGUGCCGAAUAUUUAUUGGAGACCUUGAAGAAGAAACCAGCAUGAUCAAACGCAGCCAAUCCCUGCGAAAUCCCUACAAGAAAUAAACGUAGUAAUCGAAGCAGUUAAGGUAACUAAAUAUUAUCCUCGAACCCAGCUUUCAUUAGUCAGCAACUUUCAACGAAGUUCUAAAUGAAAUGGCAAGGAAACCUGCAGGUCUUGAAAAAUCCAAUGAAACCCUCAACAUGGCAAGUUGGUGUCUAAGAAACAGCUACCUAGCACAAUGUUGAUCUGUCAAAUCACUCUUAAGGUUUCCACAUCACCACAAAGAAGUACCAGAUUAAACCACAAUACAAUACUUGUCCAGUUGCUUUUCAGCGCUCGAAGCGUUAGUUUACAGUUUCAACACGACACACCGUCCAAUCAUGGCACGCAGAAACUCACAGAGAGAUCAAGCGAUGCUGGAACAAUUUUGUCGGUGUGAAGCUGUGGAAGCUGGUCCAACGUUUCCAGAGCAGAAUUGAACAGCUCACGCAACUCUGGAUCUAUAUCAAGUGCUACCAUUCCUGGUCCAACCAGAAGGACCUGCAUUCUCUGGACUGCGGCUGAUAAGUAGCCCAUUGCAAAUGCUUUGCAAGCUGCAGAUAGUAACGAUAAUGGUGAGGGAAUUCGUUCCAAGAUACCAUUUCAUACCAACAAUGACCAAACUCCUUAAAAACGAAUCAAGAAACGUAAGAACAGAAGAAUAUGAAAUUGACUGCCUUCAUAAACACAUAGAGCGGCAAGAAAAACUUCUCUACCUGGAGUGUAUUUGCGAAUAAGCCCGGUGAGACGAUCCAUGCCAUCUAAUAGAAAACCAAUUGUAGGGUCUUCCAUGUCCUGCACCCACCAAUCAGUGAACUUGGUUGAUUGACAAAAUGCUAGCUCAAAAAUUUCAUGUGACAGUCAUCGAUCAAAAAGCUCCAAUUUAAGAAUCAAACAGGCGCAAAAAUGUGAAAAUAAAGAAGAGUUAUGACGCGCAGGGGUUGAAAAAUUAAGCACCAUCUCUAUGGGCAUCACUCGAGUACCCUUUGCUUUUCCCACCAUAACUCCAACGUGGCUAAAAAACCAUAAAAUUUCUGCACGAACCAUUACCAAGGCAGCAAAUACCAUCUGCACUCAAAUGUAUAUUAUAUCAGCGGAGAUAGCCUGGAAGAUGGUCUCUCUAAAAUGAAUAUAACUGAGAUAAAACAUGAAGAAGCAGAAAAUAUGGGUCAGAACCUCAAAGUACUUUAUUAAAAGCUUUUGGACUAUUUUCAGAUAGGAAGUACAUGGGCGAUCUUAGUCAUGUGCUUGUUAAACAAAUAUUUACAUAUAGAACCAACCAUUAAAUAAAUGUUGACCCCACACAAACACCAAGAUGGAAUCAAGAUGGUCUCUUAAAAACACCAGAGAUUAUAUAUAUAUAUAUAUAUUGAAUAGUUUCAAUCAUAGCAAAAACGUACUGUUGAGAUUUUAAAACCACACAGAUACAGUAUGCGGAGAAAGUUGGAAGUAGAAGCACAAGGUAAAGCACAAGGUAUAACACACCUGCAGAUUAGGUGCAAGGAGGGUGGGCUGAUCUGAGAAAAACAACAACAUACGACCAAUCUCCUGCUUCAAUAGCAAUCGGUGCUCCCUAUGUGCAGAGUCUGCAUUGUUGAUAGCAGUAUCUUGGGCGUCGCUGUGACAAUCCAGAUCUUCAUUAGAAUGAAAUAUUACAGCGUAAUAUUUUAGCACUACAAAGCUUGUGUCAACAAGCGCAGAUUAGAUGCUGGAUGUGGGCGCAAAGAGUGAUGAUAAGAUAAGAUAAGAUAACCAAUAUCUAAUGCACGAAUAUUUUCUCCACGACAUUCAAAAAUUCACAUGAUUCUUAGAUUGAUGUCAGUAGCCUGAUUCUGCUGUGCAUACCCACCAUAUUUGCUUCUCGACCUGUUUGGCCAGAUUGUAUUCAACAUCAGCAUCACGACCCUUGGCACGCCCCGCCUUUGCAAGUUUUUUCGACUCAGCUAUCCUAGGUAGUACAUAAUGCUGAUACUCUUCAUGCAACAAAACAUACUGCACUCAUCCAAGAAAGUUUUCCUGAUAAUGACUUUCCAUGCCUGAAAUUAACCUUGUGGAACCGCGCAAAAGGCCGACUCUAGAGGAUGACUACAUAAACAACACAACGAACAAUGAACAACGAACGAAUUUAAAUCUGCGAGAUGAAAGCACAGAUAGUAAUUAAUACCACUUGUCAGGAAGACAAUCAAGCAUUUGCACAAGAAUGCAGAAGGUACCUCAUCUCGGAAAAGAGGUAGGAGGAUAGAUUCUUUGAGCAGCACCUGUUUUAUAAUCGACAUGGAAGAUGUGUAAGCUGGACAAAUAGACAAAUACCAAAAGCAGUUUGCGUUCACUACGUACUUACAUAAUUUUCAACGACUAACAUGCAAUGUAUACUACAUCUGGAGCAGCAAGCUGCAGAAGAGACCCACCAAAGCAAUAUCCACUGCUCCAGGUCGAAGAAGUUCUGUGGGGCAAACUAGAUACCCAAUAAGUACCCAUUCUCGGUAUGCUUCAAUAUUUACCAGCUCUUGUGCUCUCUGAGAAGUUCACAGAAUUGCAUGUAAGCAUUCAAUAUAAAGAGUGCAAAAAAUUGUCAAACAUUCAACCUGCAUAGUCAGUUCGAUACCAAGCUCAUGCAUACAGCUACAUCUUUAAACUGAACUAUCCAAAAUCCAGAAUUCAAUAUAACACCUGACGGCACCCAAGAACAUAGGAAAGUCACAAAAGGUACAUGGUAAGCUAUACGUCAGAAAACUUACAGCUGGAUGUGCUGAGUUGGUAAGCUUGUCAGGAUACCGAGGAUGAAAUGGACUGAGAUAACCUUCACUGCGCAGCCUUUGAAAGUCGGACCCAAGAAGUACUGUUGGCCCAACAGCGUCCAAUAUCUGUUGUGCGUCAAAAUCAUGAAUCAGCUUAGACUAUGCCACAAUCUUACUGCCCCCAGAGGCAGGCCAGCACUGCUGUAAACAAAUCGAAUACACACAAUCAUAUGCAUGUAGACGCUAUUUGCUCAAAUUCCAAGUAAAAUGCGGCUGUAAAGCAAAGUUGAUUCAAGGUUUUGUCUGUAGAUUCAAGCACAUACCUCACCUAUGCGGGGGCUCACAAAAUUGAGGUCAUCAUGUAGCCCCUUCAGAGGAGGGUCAUAUGCUUCUACAAACUGCACCAUGCUGAUUCAAAGUAUCCCAAACCCUCAGAAUUCACAGAAACGAGUGGCAACCGAUCCCAAUAACACGAAAUAAGCAAUGUCAUGGUCAAGAUGGUCAUUUAAACGAGCAUAAGCCCUACUUCACAAAAUUGUAUUUUGAACAGACUCCACUUCAUGAGGCAGCUGUGAUCUACAGCUUUCUUGCUCUAUUGUUCGAUAACUACAAACUACAUUUAUGGAACUGUUUUCAUGAAUGCACCAUAAAAUUGGUACAUAUUUUUCCCAUAUCUACUCAGGUAGACCUGCCAAUUACAAGACAUGAAAUCAAACCCGCCUUCGCAAAACAUCUUACCGAUGGUAAGCCCCAUAAUCUCGUCCGCUUUUCAUUAUUGUAUGUACCAGAUUAUACAUCUGAAGGAGCAUCUUCCUCGGUACCUGCUUAUAACCACAAAGGUCAUGAUAUAAUUUCGGGAGCACAAUUUGAAACCUUAAAAGCAGCCAACGAUAAAAUUCCCAAAAGUUUGCGAACAUACGUAGCCAGAGGUGCAGGAAAUGUAUUAACCUUGUCUGCUAGAAGGUUGACCCGCACAAAAGAACAAAAAAGCUCCAUAAAUACUCGGAGAAGAAGAGGAUUUUGAUUGGGCUGCAGAAACACGUUGCAAGUCACUGAAAAACCAUUCUCCCACUCUCAUUUACAGAUUAAAGAUAAUACUAGCCCUAAUACUAAUUGACAACCGCAAAAUGAAGCUUCCUCGAACUCGGGUUUUUUUGGAAUUAAAAGGUUUAACUUUUUCUUACAAACUAACGGUUUCAUAACAUCUAUGCCAUCAACAACUGACAAGGUCCACGUUAGUCUCAGCUUGACAUGUCAAGCUGGGGCAUUAUCACAUGCGAUAACGCUCCUAUAUUGGCUUAGGUUGAAGGGCUCACCAGCAAGGUGACCACUGUGCUACUCAAGUCGAGGAUCACACGAAGUGACUGUUCUCGAAAUGUCAUAAGAUCCUCUAGAACCUGCAGACAUCCAUGACUUCAGCUUGAAAUGUAGGUGGAUAUCAAAUCGACCAAUGAACCCGAAAACAAAAUAGUAAGCCUAAAAACAGAGACAGGUUGUUUCACUCAAACAGCUACUUCUCUGCAGUACUCUACAAAUCAGUAGCCUUCCACUGGAAUCAUACCAUUAUCCACGGCUCAAGAGACGCUACAUAUCUUCCUGAAUGUUCAUGAAGCAUAUCGCACCCUCCUUUGUCGACCUGAAAAAAUGAAAACAAUAAUUGGAUUGAAGUAAAUUCAAAUUCAUGGCCUUAAGUUAAUCUCUCUCUCUCUCUCUCUCUCUCUCUCUCUCUCUCUCUCUCUUGAUACACAAGUUGUGCUAUCCAAUGCUUUGUGAAAAAAAGUGUGGAGAGAAAGGGAGGGUAAUAGAAUCCACCUUGUCCAGCUGCAUUUUCGCAGGGUGCUCAGGAAAUUUGCGUGCAACAUGCUGGCACAGUUUUGGCAUGUCUGGAAAGAUUCCAGUCUUCCAGAACGAGUCUGGGUGGUGCAGAGUCCCGGGUUCCGCAGACCCCAAAAUCUGGUGCAAUUUAUGCAGCUUGGUCAUAAGGCCAAGUGCGACCUUUUGCAAAUGGAUGACCCAUUCGAUCUGUCUAGUCUUCUGAACAUUCUUCGUUGACUGAGAACGCUGGGUGGCCAUCGAGGCGCGUCUCCAAACAGGAGAUUCGUUCCUUCGAGCUCCAGUAUCCUCAGCACUCCACGCCGCCUCCGCUGGACCUGGUCUGACUGGUGAGGCGUCAUUGUUGCGUUUCAACCGCAAUUUGGCCAGAAACUGCUGGCUAGUUUGCACAUCCAACUCCAUUACGCAACUAUUUUCACUCAUAAGAGCAGUGUGUUAGAAGAUUAUCUCAACAUGAGUUCGUCCAAAACUCAUGAGUGCUUUGCGGCACAACCACUGCUUAGUUUUUUCCUCUGGCUUACUACUAGGUAGUUCAGUUGACCACAGAAGUCAAUAAUUGGAGAUAUGAGUAGUUGCUCUCACGCAGAAUGUGCAGUGCAUUGCAAAUAGGUUCUACAAUGCACAAGUCAAAAGACCACUAUCCUAUGUCGGAAAUUUAAGCUACUUCUAGUUAGUGUCGAUGGCGCAAAACAAAUGUUACGAGCUUCCAGGCGUGAAACGGUUGAUUGAUGACCAUAAGGAUGGAAACUUGUUAAGAUACGGCAUUUAUCUAAGAAGGAAUAACCCUGCACCCAGUGUUGACCCAAUAUUCUGUGCAACUAGUAGGUGCACAUACGUAAUCGAAGAUAAAGUAUUCGUAGUAGACAUCUUGACUCACCCAAUCUCGUACUGUUUACAUUACAAGCUGGAAGGCUAGUCACUUUUUCCAGCUGACGUGAUAAUAUUUUUCGAGGUCUAAAGGUCACAGAAGAAAACGUAAUGAAAGGAAGACUUGAUUACAAGCCUAGCCCUACCCCUAACAAUUUGUCACUAGCCGUUGCAAAAGAUUAAUGACUAAACAAGGGUGGUAUCACUCCAUCAGGAACAGAACAGUAUUAGCUCGUGUGCAAGAAAGCACAAAUGCACAAACAAGUUAACCUAACAUAAUCGAAAAAUGCUGAUUCUAAUGACUAGUCAUGCCCCUGAUACGGUAUUUACUCGAUUUGACAUGCUCAGAGCAUGUCUCUACGAUACUUGCCUAGGUGAUUGCCCUUGGUCUUGUCGUCCAAAACGAAAAUCCUUGAUUAGAAGCUGAUGUACCUCACAGAUAUCAAUAAAGUGAACACGUACCUCAAGUUGCAGGCCUAUCUCUCUAAGACAGUAAAUUUCUCGCUCCUCGAUCCAUAGAUGCCACUGCCCCGCUAGCCUGAUAGACCUGAUCAAAGUUGCCGAAUUCGUUAAGCGUUUAGGAAGAGGGAAAACAUCCGCAAAAAACAACUUCAUCCGUAAAAGCAACCGAUCGUUCAUCAAACAGCCACUCGCAAAGUUUGUCUUGCUCCAAUAAGCCAGUACCAAAACCGCUGUAGGAGUCUCACAGCUGACUGACUCAUCAAAACUGCUGCAAGACUAUUGCGAUGUUGAAUGCACGCACUACAAAAAUCUCUUAGUACAACAAAAACUAACUGCAUUGUCUAUCCCAACUGAUGCAAUGUGCUCUAUUUAUUUUUGUUCACGAGUCUAGGACACAAUAAUUUGUAGUGCUCAUCUUUGGUGAAGGACAAAAAAACAUCCUAUUCCACACCGUAAUGACAAUAUUCUACACAUUAAGCAAGCCGAACCCUCAGAUCCUCAUCCAUCACUUCGAAUAACCCAGGUACACGAAAGCUCCUACUCUCCUUCAAUCCUACUCUCAAAAGCACACCAAAGAAUACAGAAAUCGGACUUCCAUGAGUCCCCCACUAGGAGUGUCCACUACACCCGACGAGACUCGGAGGACUGGUUAACCCACUGCGUGCACGUGUUGGGAGAAAGAGAACGGGUCGAUACAAGCACAGACAUGGCGACGAAGAAGGGUUGAGAACCGAGAGACUGCGAUCUGAAGCUACGCGGAGACGACCCAGGAGAGAUAGAGCCCUAAAGAAGCGGGAGGAGGCAAGGAAAGAUACACACACAGGAAGAAGGGCGGUGGGGAGGGCUCUAGACACGAGCGUUGCUUUUCAUAAAACACAGCAAGCUGGGUGGCUGGGUGGCUGGCUGGCUGCAGUGAGUUGUGCUCAACGACACGAAACCUGGGGCUCUCGCCUCUACUCCUCAGAGUACCCGAAGUCCACCCCGACGACCAGCCCUGCUGCUAUUUUCCACCCUGGGAGCCACGCCACUGGGAAGUAGACGGGCCUCGACGCCACAGUCCUCGCGACCCAACAACACAAACUCUAAACAAUGCGCGCGCAACCGCCUCUCGGCAUUCUUCACGGCACUUGGCGUAGGGCCCUACCUACCCUGUCGCCGUCGGAUGUGUUGGCUCCGGCCCUCUGGGCUCCGGGGCUCUGCGAUUCCCGAUCCCGCAUCCCCCCCCCCCUCUCGUGCCGACUGUGAACCCACACUUGCUUGCUUACUCGCUUGCUCUUGCUUCGACAAUGCAACUAGUUUCAGGAGGGCAGAGCUGUGGCAGGGUCAAAGUCUUGGCCAUGUCCGCAUGCACAAGGGUGGUGGGCAGACGAGAACCAAGUCGUCUUGAGGUGAGAAUCUAAAUUAAGGCGCAAAUCUCUGACGCCUAAGAAAGGAAGGGCAGCAGGGUGGUGGUGCGUGAGUGGGUGUUCAUGGGCCCUUGCGGACUCCUCUUUUGCGCUGUGUGCCGUCCUCCCCCCCCCCAUAACCCCUCAUUCUCCCUAUCACCGCGCCCUUCCGAACAUGAACUGAAUGGUCGUUCUAAACGUGUCGAUUCGAGCACACUUGUAGAAUUUCUUUCAGGAUGGAGCGCUUCUUCAAAUGUCUCGGUUUUGAGAUGUGGGUUUUGAAACUUGGAAAUGACAUUAUUUGCCAAAAAUACAUCUUCACUAGCAAACUCUUUUUUUUGGUGCUGUUGUUGUAAUAAUUGGGGGAUGAUUGAAGAUGAAAAGUGUUGUGAUUACACUAUAGAACUAAAUUGGGUGGUAUUGCUUUUAUGGACCAUUCUUCAUGCAAACAAGGCAUAUUGAGAUGUAAAAUCUACAUGACUACAUUAUUGAUUGUAUACAAUUUGAUUGUCUAAAUAUACAAAAUAAAUAAAUUGAAUUCAAAUUUAUAUAAUACAAUUUUGUAUUGAAUAUAAAUUUGUAUUCAAGUGUAUUUCUAAUCAUAAUAAUAAUUUGUACAUGAACAGAAUAAAAUAAAAUAACAAACUUAUACGUAAGAAUGUACCUUUUACAAUUAAAGUUGAUAAUGAAAAAUUCAAUAAAAUAAAUGUGACUUUCUCUUUGUAGAUAGUUAAAUUUUGUCAUUAACGUGUUAAUGAAUCAUGACUCAAGCUUAAAUUCUUUAAGUUUGAUAACAUUUGACAAUCAUUUUCAGAAAUGUCUAUAAUGUCAGCAAAAAUUAUCUUCAUGGUCGCUUUCUUGGUAAACGCUGAAAGGUUAUUUGAAAAAACAGUAUUUACUUAAUAAAAAAGCAGCAAUAUCCAUUUUUAGGUAUGAAGUACGCGAUAUAAUUAACGGAUACUUACGCACAUGCCAAGGUGGAAUCAAGAAACAAUCCAUGAUCUUGAUGAGCGAUCCAAAUACGUUUAGCUGCCAUACGAUCAUUUUCAUUGACCACAAUUACUCUUGAGUUGUCAAUCUUCCUACUUGUGUUAUUGACGACAACCUGACGCAAUGUAAAGGUUACAAGAUAUGUACUUUACCAAGUGGCUCAUUGAUUGAAAUUGAGUGAGCUCAUCAGUAGUCGAGAAAUGAUGAAUUUGUCUACAGAGAAGUUUUUUACUCGAUUAUGGGAACAUAGGCUUUCGAUACUGAUGCCGUGCUAUUUAAAUUAUUGUCAUAUCACGCAGUUUCGAAGAAAAUAAAUUUCAUGAGUCGCGAAGAUUCCAGUCACAAAUCGCGUACUUUUCUUAUCUUUGAACGAAGAAAAGUACUAAUAUGUGCGGACCCAGAAUUGUUUAUUCAUCUCGUAUCCACUCCAGAGAAUAUUCAAGCACCUAAGUGGUUUUUAAUCCCCACUCAACCAACAAGCAUGAGGGGUGAAUUCUGCUAAAACGAGGGCACGGAACUCCUUGAGGCAUAUUUUAGUAUGAAAAAUAUGAGAGAAGAGUAAGGGGGGGGGGAUCAAACAGAGGAUAUUCAGUGUAACCAUUUUAGUACAAAACGAGACUGAGGCUGGCCGUCUCCUUGAAGACAAAACCACUUCCAGUUGCAAGAUAGUAGCUUCAACGUAUUUUGCUAUUUCAAUGAAAACAUAACCCCCUGAGUACAGCUUCGGAAAAUUUUCUAUCCAAAAUCUAUUGCAAAUGCCAAAUCUUGGAAUUUCUCUCCACUUAAGCGACGAGAGUGCUAGCAGUGGCGGAUUCGCUGCAAAAAACACAGUAUAGUUAGAGUUCAGACUGGCAAGCCCUAAAGGUGGUUCGGAUCCAAGAGAUAAUACACACACAGAGAGAUAUGUCGCCAGUCUUCAUGAAUAAAUCACACUAUGGCAUACUUUCAGUAUCACGAAGGCGUUGCCAACCAUACUGCAGUUUUUAGGAGCAUGCUAAUAAUGUGAAACUGCAGAGUGAAAUUAAGCCCACCUAUUCAUGUCAUUCCUCAACAAUAUUCCUCAGAUAGAAGGAGUGGAGUGUUACUACUUACUACUUCCAGGUAGGGGGGAGCUUCUUGGUGCGCUUGUAGUAGCGAGCUAGCCUGUGGACACGGCUCUCGAUCAAAAUCAAUCGGAACUUAGAGUCCUUGUCCUUGCGGUUCCUCUCCAAGUGCUUGCGCACAGCGACAGCCUUCUUGAUCAAGUGGUACAAGUCCUCGGGGAUCUCGGGACCCAAACCUACACAUGGGCGCAAUCUCGUCAGCCCUCAAGCAAUGCGGUGUCAGUAUCGUCAAGCUGGUCGGAGACCGUCAUUCUGAGGUGAUAUCGUUAGCUUCCGGAAUUAAACGACAUGAAAAUAGGACGCAUAGUUUUUCGUGUGAGUAUCCAUUAACUGUCUGAUUGCCCAGUGCGGCGUGUAGGUCAAAAAGCCAAAUUCUUACCAUGUCCCUUCAGAAUACGGAGAACCUUGCUUCCAGUCACGCUGUUAACCUGGGCAAUACCGUGUGAAUCCCUCAGGAUCACACCAAUCUGAGAAGGGGUCAGACCCUUCUUGGCGAGCUUGCAGAUAUGCUCUUCAACCUCGGCGGUGGUGAUCUUCAACCACGAUGGCGGGCUCCUCUUGUACGGCAAAGCCGAUGAGGACAUACCCUUCCUGCAUACAAGUCCAAAAACUUCAAACGCAAUUCGAGUGAACUGAACCAACGAACAUAGCCACCAACAACAACCUAAACCUAAAGUUUAAAAUUCCUGAAACCUAACGACGGCAGCAGUUAACUAAACGGGCAUUCAAGGAGUAUGAGCAAGGGCAGAAAAGCGGACGCCGCAGCAGAUAAACGUACCCGGAACUGUGCAUACGCCCCAUGGUGAAAGACUCAAGGUUGCGGGCUGACGCCGAUGCGAGAGGCGAAGGCCAACAGAAUGCGCGCGGAAAAGAGAGCAAUCAGAAUCGACGGAGAGACCAUAUAAGCCAGCCGACCGCAUAGGCUAGGGUUUCCUCCUCCAGGUACCAAAACGAGGUCCUCAACGAAAAUAGAUGACUUAUAUGGUCCCAAGGCCGUGUGUGCCUUAUUCCGCAGAAGCUGAGCGAGAAUAUAGUUUGCACUUUCGAAGCUUCGCAGCUUGAUUAGCGCUUUCUAUUUCCUGACGUUUUGUGCUUGCGUUUCAGCUGUAAGAUUUGUUUCAAGCAGAUUUAAAAGAACUUGAAGAGAUAAUGUUUCUUCUCUUUACCAUUGCUGACUCUUUGAAAUUAAAUUUUAACAUAUUCAUUGCCCAACAUUCAAAUGCUAUCAAGAAUAUAAUGUUUCGUGCAGGUGAUUUUGUCGGAUCGCUGAUCAAAACCACGUCACGAAAUCAACAGAUCGGAGUCAUCACCAGUAACGAUUCAUCCGGUAGGAUUGCAACAGGAUUGUUGAACUGAGACAUUUGUUGAUGUCUCUACUCAACUCUUGUGGGCUUUCAAAACAUUGUGGUAGAGAAAAUUUUAAUUUCCAUCAACAAAAACCACUAAGUAGUUGCAGUUUUCUACCGCACCUUGUGAACCUUCUCAAUUCUGUUCAUAUUUGCAUGUACUCAAUUAGAUGGUGGAUACUUUUAAUCUCCUGUUAUGCAAUCUUCAAUCUGCUUCAAAAGCUGCAAAAUUUUGCUGAAUCAUGCAUGCAAAGGAUCACAAGUUGGAAAUGGAAAUUUUUUGCUGAAUCAUGCAUGCAAAGGAUUACAAGUUGGAAAUGGAACUUAUGAGCUACUACAAAGUGACUCAGUCCAUGUCUUGGAAAUGAAACUUGUUUGUUUGUUUGUUUGUUUAAUUCAAUUUUUUAAAAUUACAACAUUAUAAACCUGUAUUAAAAAUACGGGAAUGUUAAAUAGACACAUAUGUGGCAAUCAUUAUGAAUGCGAUUAGUUUUUAUUGGUUGCAGAUAUGUAACGGACAUAUGCAUGUAAGCCAAUAAUUACAUGUAUAAAUAGGUAGAAAUAAGUAAAAGUAGGUAAAAGUAAGCUAAUUAUAUAAAAUUUAUUAUACAAGCUUCUUAUUAGCUUCAUAGACUCUGCUUUGACUUUAUAGGUGUCUUUAAUUGACUUUUUGGAUUAAAAACGUGGUUAAUAAGUUGGCCAUGUACCACACAUGUUGUUAGCUUGAAGAUCAAGCUAACUAUGUCGCCCACACAUAAAAAAACUUAUCUUGUAAGUCAAGGCAUGUGUCCUACAAAGUCAACACAUAUUGGAGGUCCUAUAGAACAUCGCCAUGCAGCCCCUAGUUAGAUAGUAUAUAUAGAGGCAAGAGUGAAGCCCUCUUCACUCUUGUCAACUCCUUUCUUGCUUCUAGUUUAGUUUCAAGGGUCUCUAAUUUUCUUGUCUUUUGGCAAUAGCCAUUCUAGUUUCUUUCUUAAUAUAAAUAUUGAAUUAUUUCUAUUUUUUCAUCUUUCUUUGAGAGAAGUCUCACUUAUUUAUUUGUCUUUAUCAACUUCUUGUCCUUGAUAGAUUGACAAGAUUACACUUAUAAUAUGAGAGAUUUGUCUAAUCUUGAUUAAGAAUGGAUUAUUCUUUUCUCUUGAUAAGAUAAUAACAUAUUAGAAGUUGCGGAUUAUCCUCUUCUAAACUGAUAUUGUCCUUAGUAUUUUCUUUGUUUUCAAGUCCUCUCUUCUAUUUGUCUUGAACAAUAAUAGACAUCUAUUUUUUCUAAGUGUUAUCGUUGCAGAACUUGCUGAAAUAAAGAGUACAAUGGCACAAAUACAAGAACAAUUCAGGAAGUUAGUGCUUGCAAUGCAUCAACUCAAUUUACUAUUAUAAGGAGCAACAAGACUGACAGGAAGUGAAGAUAUAGAAAUGAUUGGAGCUGCUUCAAUAUCUGCACCAAAUUAUGUUCCUUCUUCUAUGGUGGAAUACCCUUCUAAUGUUACAGAAUCUAGAAUUGUCCUACCCGAGAAGUUUCAUGGCACCAGAUCAAAGUUUAGAGGAUUUAUCAAUCAAGUAAAACUUAUGAUUGAACUUUAACCCCAAAGCUAUGCAAUUCUAAGAUUGCAAGUUAGAUUCAUUAGUAUUCUUCUUUCAAUUUCAACAUUAUUAUAAUUUUCAUCUUUUCUUGAACAACGAGAUCCAAUAUUGGAUAAUUUAGAGGCUUUUUUGGAAGAAUUUUGAUUCAUGUAUGGAAAACAUGAUGCAAUUUGUGAUGCAAUCAACAAGAUCCAUAUUUGGCAACAAGGCAAUCAAUCAGUAAUGUUGUAUGCUUCAUAGUUUUGACAACUUACAACUGAUAUCAAGUAAGAUGAUGCUACACUUGUUAGCCAAAUUCUCUAAGGAUUAUAAUAUGAGGUAAAAAAAUUGAUGUUUAACUUACGUGAUCCUCAAACAUUGAGUCAAGCAAUUGACUUUGCUGUAAAGUGUGACAAUUGUCUUUUUUAAUUUCAAUUUGAGAACUAUACAAGUGAACCUCAAUAAUACUAUAAUUCAAUGGCAACACCAACAUCUGUUUAACAUAUACAUUUAAAAGUAGAGGAUAUGCAAAUUCAUGUAGUACAUUUCAAAUGUCUUAUUGAGCAAGAAAAAAUUCAUUGUCAUCAAGAAGGAUUGUGCUUAUAUUGUGGAGAACCUAAGCGCACUACUUAACAUUAUGCAAAGAAGUGACGUAACUAUAAAAUGAAGAGUACGGCGAUCAAAGAAGAUAGCAUGUCAAAAAACAAAUUUAUCCAGCUACAAUAAGGACUGUGUGGCUGGAACCUUGUACAACGGCUAAUAAAGGUCAUAAUCUCUCCUUAGAACCCCCUUCCAAUGUCGUAUUACGUGCUAUCUUGCUUGAGAACGCACCAGACAUCUGGCUAUGGAAGAUAAAAUAAUGUUUUGUAAGUAUCCAAGUAGGCUAGUGGGUUUCAACUAUCUGAAUACAAACUAUUUCGGAUUUCAAUGUAAAAGCUUAAUUCCAAUAUAAAGUGCUUAGAAACACUAUUUUUAAUAACUUCAAGAUAUUAUAAGUACAAAGUCUUUUGUUAUUUGUUAGUUUUUAUUUUUUAUUUAUUUUAUCUUAUUUUAUUUUAUUAUUUUAUUUUUAUUUUAUUUUAUUUUAGUUUUAAUCCUAACUCUAGACAAUGAGCUUCAACAAGCUCUAAUUCUCAAUCUAAUUGUCUAAUUAUUGUAAAUUUCUACCACUAGUGUCUUUGCAAGCCUUCUAAAUGCUCAAGAAGUUUUAAUCCAAUCUAAUUUACAAGUUGCAAGAAAUUACCGUUAAUCCACAUUAAUGUAUCUUGACCGUUACUUAAAAGUCCUCGACUUAUCAUGCCAAAAGUCACCUUAUUCCAGUUGGUAGAUCUCUCGAAAUUACAGAAACCCUAAACAACCCCAAUCUGCUAACUUCCGAUACCUCUUUACACUAAUGGUCAAAUAUCCUCUAUCUGUUCCAUCAGAUUAACACAAACUUUUGCAUGCACUUGGCAUACCAACCUUUUAGACACCUCUAAAUUUCAACCGCAGAAGUUUGUCCAAUUUCACAAAACAAUCAAGAGUACUAGCCAUUACUUUAUUACAAAAAAUCCAAUUCACUAAUACAAACAUUGGCUUUUAGCAACGAUUGCCAAAGUUCUUCCAAAUCCUAUGAAACUCAAUUCUACACCUUUCGAAGGAGCUUGAAGCUAGCUCUCCGACUCCAAAAAACCAAUCUCUGAAUGUCCCUUUCUUUAUCGUCUCUUCCCUUUUAACUCCAUGUGGUCCCCUUUUCUUUCACCAUGGAUUUCGAAUUGGAACAGUCGACGGUGCUUCCCCGGAAUUCCUCUCUCUAAGAGGAUCUUUCUACGGAAAGGACGUUUCUCUCAAAACAGCAUAGAGAAUGGAACAGCUUAAAAUGGAACUGAAGCCUCCGUAUUCGGGACCUCAUUGGGUUGCCCAACCAAGUCAGGUCUCAUACUAAAUAAGAGGCACAUACUAGGGCCUAGAUUGGAUGUCCCUGUAAUUGGGUCAAAUUUGUCCUUUACAUUAAACUCACUCGAAUAUUGAAUUGGUCCUUUUUCUUUUUGCCGACUCCUGAUAAGAAUGGCUUGGAUUCAUUCCGCCCGAUUCAUCAAAGAAUCUUGAGGACCUUGAUUUAUCUUCUCAAUUUUUUCUUAGCUUUGGAUCUGUUGAUCCCGCUUAUUGAAUUGGAUAGAGCAUUACAUUGUUGAUAAGUAUGCCUCAUUUGCUUACAAUUCCUACACACUAUGGUGUAAUCAUCACAGGCUUUGGGAUUGAAACAUUCACUGGCAUAAUAACCAACCCGUUUGCAAUGGAAACAACAAAGUGGUCUUCCUGCACUUCCAUCAUGCAUAUUGGGUGUCUUUGGCGAUAUAUACAUACUAGGCUUGUUCCAUAUAGGGUUGGAAAAUGAUCCUGGUUGUAUGGUUUGAUGAUACUGAUGGGAUGAUAUUAACUGCUCUAAAUAUUGGCACUGAAAUUGGACAAUGUUUCUAACAUCCAAGAUGAUUAAAUAUUAAUAAUAUCUUUUUUAUUUAUAUUUUUUUUAUAUAGUCGUGUUAUAACACGACACCGAAACAUAGCAUAUUCUUUUGGAACAUUGUUGCUAUGACUACUCAAUUGACGUUUAAGAUGGAGCACAACUGCCAUUUGGACCAAUCUUUACUUUAUCAAAAAAUGAGUUGGCUGAACUUAAGCUAUAUAUUAAAGAGUAUCUGGCCAAGAACUUCAUAUGCCAUUCUAAAUUUCUAGCAAGAGCUCCAAUUUUAUUUGUGAAGAAAAAAGAUGAAUCAUUGCAGAUGUAUGUUGAUUAUCGAGGACUCAACAAAAUCACCAUCAAGAACAAGUACCCACUACCUUUGAUAUUUGGACUCUUUGAUCAGUUGAAUCAAGUUAAGAUCUAUACAAAAAUAGAUCUAUCAGGAACAUACAAUUUAGUAUGCAUCAAAGAAGGAGAUGAAUAUAAGACUGUGUUUCAAACAAGGUAUGGACAUUUUGAAUAUAAUGUCAAGCUUUUUGGACUUACAAAUGCACCAGCAGUAUUCUAACAUUUAAUGAAUUAUUUCUUUCGAGAGUUUUUAGAUGAUUUUAUUUUCUGUUAUUUAGACGACAUCUUAAUCUAUUCCAAGAACUCAGAUGAAUAUGAACUUCAUGUUCGUCGUGUGUUACAAAAACUAACAUAUGCGGGAUUCUAUACUAUGAUAGAAAAGUGUGUAUUUUAUACUAUUUUAGUCGACUUCUUAAGAUACAUCAUUUCAAAUGAUGGACUUACAAUGGAUCCUAAGAAAGUUCAAACUAUUAUGGAUUAGAAGAUACAAAAAAUAGUAAGAGAUGUCCAAUGCUUUUUGGUAUUUGCCAACUACUAUUGAAUCUUCAUCAAAGACUUCUCUCAAGUUGUAGCUUCACUUAUACAUUUGAUUUGUAAAGACAAACUUCAAUGGAAUCAAGAAGCGGAAGUAGCAUUUGAAGCUUUGAAGAUGGCCUUUGUUUUUGCACGAAUCUUGUAUUGCAUUGAUUUUUCUAAGCUAUUUUUUAUGGAAACAUAUGCAUCAGAUUUUGCUUUGAGUAUUGUAUUGUCACAAAUGGGAAGAGAUGAUAAACUUCAUCCAAUAGCUUUUCAUUCCAAAAAAAUUUCAACAGCCGAGAUCAAUUAUAAGAUCCCCAACAAAGAACUUUUUAUAAUUAUAGAUUUGUUUCAAGAGUGGUGCCAUUAUCAAAAAGGUGCUUCUAGCCUAGUCACUAUGUAUACAAAUUACAAGAAUCUUGAAUACAAUACAUUCUUCUACAAAACAAACACCUUUCUUUGGCAAUUAUGGUUAUCAUCCAUGACUUGAUACUUUUGACUUUUCAAAAGUUGAUAAUCCUGCGGCAAAGACUUGGCAAUUCAUUUGUUAGAGCUACAUGCAAUAAUGAAGGCGUAGUUAAAAGAAGUUGAAGAACAACAAAAUGUCAAUGUAGAUGUAUAUCAAAAGGAACAACCACCAUUUGACAUAGGUGACAAGAUAUAAUUACUUUGUCAUAAUAUUAAGAUGACUCAUCCUUGUAACAAGUUGGACUAUCAAAGGCUUGGACCAUUUUUUAUUUCUGCACAAAUCAAUUCAAUUGCAUAUCAUUUAUACCUACCGGAGUCAAUGAAAAUCCUUAUAAUAUUCCCUAUGUCUCUUCUCGAACCUUACAAGACAAUGGACAUAUCAAAAAGAAGACAAGCUCUACCUCUUCCUAUAGAAGUGGACAAUAAUGAAGAGUUCGAAGUGGAAGAAGUUUUAGAUUCAAGGUCGCAUUGAAAUAAAUUAGAAUAUCUUGUCCAUUGGUACAAAUAUGAUAUUAGUGAAUGCACAUGGAAGCCCGUAAAGAAUCUUGUAAAUGCAUCAAAGGUGGUGGAGGCUUUUCAUCGACGACAUCCAUCAAAAUCAAGAUGAAAACCUUCCUUAUAAAAGAAACAAGAUCCAAGCAAGAUAACAUUCUACUUUCAAUCCUUGUUUGUGGCUUCUUUGUAGUUGUGACACUAAGAAGAUGGAAAACCAACAACCAGCGGAUUCGACUCAAGAACCUUUGUUUGCUGACCUGCUAGACAAGACAUUAUGAUUGUCACAACGUUCAAGACGGCACAUUUGAGAUGAAGAUCUUCAAGAACGACAUAUUUUUCUUUGAAUAGAUGGCAGGAUACAAUGCGUUUGAUAUCACGACCUUGGAAGGGACUCCUGAUGUUUGGUGACUUUACUAGAGAUAGGAACAAUUCUUGACGGUGUUCCAAAUGUUUUAUUUGAAGGAAGUUAUGAAGGCUUCAACAUCGAUCAAAUUGUUGGAUGGUCUUUUCGCCCUGGUAUGGGACACUAUCAAUGGUUGAGAGGCCCUAUCAAUUAUCUUCAAAGAGAAUAAAGAUCAGAGUAUGUGGCAAAUACAAUUCGUCGCAUCAUAGAUUUUCUCAACAUAUGAUGAUCGCUCCUUAUGAAACUCGUUCCUACAAGGGAGAGUAAUGUCAUAGACAUACGCAUGUAAGCCAGUAAUUACAUGUAUAAAUAGGUAGAAAUAAAUAAAAAUAGAUAAAAGUAAGUUAAUUCUAUAACAUUUGCUAUAGAAGCUUCCUAUUAGUUUCAUAGACUCUGCUUUGAUUUUAUAGGUGUCUUUAAUUGACUUUUUGGAUUAAAAACGUGGUCAACAAGUUGGCCAUGUGCUAUACAUGUUAUUAGCUUGAAGACCAAGCUAACUAUGUGGCCCACACAUAGAAAAACUUGCCUUGUAAGUCAAGGCAUGUGUCCUACAAAGUCAAGACAUAUUGGAGGUCCUAUAGAACAUCACCAUAUAGCCCCUAGUUAGAUAGUAUCUAUAGAGACAAGAGUGAAGCCUUCUUUACUCUUGUCAACUCCUUUCUUGCUUCUAGUCUAGUUUCAAUGGUCUCUAGUUUUCUUGUCUUUUGGCAAUAGCCAUUCCAAUUUCUUUCUUAAUAUACAUAUUGAGUUAUUUCUAUUUUGUAAUCUUUCUUUGAGAGAAGUCUCACUUGUAUAUUUGUCUUUAUCAAGUUCUUGUUGUUUAUAAGAUCCUAUUGUGGAGAUAUGAAUCUAGAAGUCAUUUUUUUGUUCAUAAUGGUUAAGAUGGAUGGAUUGAUUUAAUAAAAAACUAGGUCUAUUUAUCAUUCUCCUAAAAAUAUAUUAAUUCUAAAUAUUAUAAUAUUUAUCUUUUACAUGUAUUAAAACAUCUAUUUUUCUAGGUUUUUAUAAUGAAAAAGUGAUUAAAUCAUUAUUACCUUUUUUUCAUUAAUUAUUUUUUAAAAUAAAGAUAAAUUUAUAUAAAAUAAUUUAGAAAAAACUUUGAAUUUUUAAGAAAUUUUGAUAUAUAUUUUUUUAUAUAAAAUUAUCAAUUCAUACAUAUAUAAAAAAAUAUUAAAAGUUUUUGAAUUUAUUAAAUAAAAUUUAAGUUUAUCUUGUUAAUAAUUCUUUAUAAAUUAUAAUUAUAUUAUUAUUUUUUAAAUUCAAAAUAUAAUUUGAUGAUUAUAUAUUUUUUAGAUAGCCAUCAAAUAUUUGUAACCAUGAUUUAUGUUUUAAGUUAUUGCAUUAGUUCCAAAUUUACAUAAAAUUUGAUUUCUAACUAUUUUUUUUUAAGCUUUUUGUACUGUAAUUUCUGUUCAAGCAUAAAAGACCAUAUAAGUAAAUUUAUAGUGUGAUACUAAAUAUAAUUUUAUGCAAAAAAUAUAAUAAAUUUAAUCAACUUUAAUUGGACAUAACAAUUAUUCAACAUUAUAAAUAUUCAAUUGAUAAAAUAAAAUCACCAUAAACAAGAAAAAUGAUAAAAAAAUGAAUAAAUAUAUAAUUUAUUAAUGAUAUCUUAAUGAAUAUUUAAGAACGUUGCUACAAUUUUGUACAACUUUAUUUUGAGUUUAAACAAAAAAGAGUUUAGUAAAAAGAUAAGAAUUAAUAAUAAAAAAUAUAAAACUAAAUAAAUUAGAAGAUAAGUUUGAUUUUUUUUUAAAAAAUAAGAGAUCAUAAAUUUUAAUUUAUUUAAAUAAAAUAACUUUUGAAAAAUUUAUAAGAAUUGAGGAGUAGCAUUUAGAUUUGUGAUAUUUAUCACUCAUCUAUGAAAGAUCAAGAAAUAAUGUAGUACAAAAACAAUUUGGUGUGUAUUUUAUCAUCUUUUAUUAUACAAAUUUUCACUAACUACCUUAUUUGAACUUAAUUUGUUUGGAAUUGUAUUUGAACAUGUUUGCAAAAUAUUUACUCCAUAGUUUAAUCAGAAUUCAUUAGAUUUUUAUAAUUUAAAUGCAAUACAAUAUUACUUAAUGUUUCUGUAAAUUAAAGUGAAAAGAUUUUCAAUCUAAUAAACAAUUGGUUUAAUCAAGAGUAGUGUAAACAAUGAUGAUUAUGAUACUUUCCUGAAAUGAAAUGUUACACUUGUGAAAUGCCUCACCGAAGAUUGGCAGUCGACGAACGAAACUAGGACACAACGCUCGACGAACGAAACUAGGAUGAAAGACUGAACGAAUGAAAAAGAGCUUCUCUAAGCCGAAGCCGCAGCUGGAACCUUCAACUGGCCUUGCUUUGGUACCGCUUCCAUUUAAUAGUAUCAUUUGUUUUUUGAGAUUUUUUUUCCUGUGUCUCGUCUCGGACUGGUCUCCUCACAGCUCACGUCGCAUACAGUUUUCAUCUGCGUGACUCCCGUGAGCUCAGGACGACUGUGGCAAUCGCGAGCGGACUGGAGAGUUCUGGUUCAUCGAUAUCACAGAAUUUUGGAUUCUGUAGAGAUAUUCUUCAACAUUUCGUCGUUGAGUUUUGUUGAAUAUCACAGAUAUUAUAUUUUGCUUUGUGGCCAACAUUUUGGAUUCCAGGCACGUUUAUCCAGGAGGCUUCUAAAUUGCUAACUGUCGAUCAUUCGGUGUUGGAGUAUGCUUGAUUUUUUUGUUUUUUAUUUUUUAUUUUUUAUGGUUAAUGAUAGAGGUUCCUGCAAACAGUGAUGCCUCUAUUUUUGUUGAAUUGUAGCCGUGAUAUAAGCUGCUUGGUUGUUGCAAUGGACAAGUUCUUUCCUAGUUUAACUUGAAGUUGUCCUGCUUGUACAUCUUCUAGAAAUUUGGAUUCUGUAGAGAUAUUCUUCAACAUUUCGUCACGCAACUUCUUAACCGUAUUUCCUUGCCAGCAAGCGAUUUGCCGCUCUGAACUAUGCCAUGAUAGUUCUUCUAACGUGUGCGUCACAUUCCAGUCUGUCAAUUUGCUCUUCAAUUCAGCGGCUUAAGAUUGCAGUGGCUUCAUUACCUUAAUGAAAAGAUAUUUUAUAAAAUUUCCUUUACUACAUUUGCCGCUGUGAUACAGUAUCAUUGAUGAAUUUGCAUUCAGCCAACCGUCGAAUGUUAAAAAUCUGUUGGUCUUGCCCAAAUUUUGAGAUUCAAAACUUGCAUUUUAUUCUCCAGCUUCCUUAUAAAGCAUAAUAGACGCAAAAACAGCGGAAUGGAAACUAGAUGCUCAGACGUAGACUCAGAAGUUGCGGUAACUCCGACACAUGAAGGUAAACAUGUGAAGUACACUGUGGAAGGAAUAGAUUUCGAAGUCUCUAGGAGGUACAAGCCACCAAUUGAAGUGAUCGGGCACGGAUCUUUUGGAAUUGUCCGGUUAGAAUUUUCCUCAAAAGCUUGACGUUUCCAUGUCUCCUAUCCUUACUCCAUGAAACAUUACCAACCAUGUAAAUAUGCUUUAAUUGCACAGUUGUUUUAGCAUAGUUUCCCUUGACAUAUUAUUUUUAGUCUAAAGCGUUUGAAAUCACUUUACUGUUCAAUUCGAAUACAACCAUAAAUCAACCUUCAUGAUUUUAGAUUAUCUGCAUUUGCAGUACAGUCUUCAGUGCUGUUAAGGUUGACCAUCCGAUCAUGGUCCAGUAUUGACCCAUUGAUUGUAAUGUCCAUUUGUUUAUUCAGUCAAAGUUCAUGUUCAGCUAAUAUUUUGUCAAGGGGUUCCUCGACUCGGUAUCAUUAACCUUGUGGCUUAUUCUGUUUAUCCUAUAUCCGUGCAAUUGUUCUUUGAUGAUGAAUUUGAAUGAUUCUUGCCUUUGCAGUUCAUUGCUUGAUUCCGACACAGGUGAGAGUGUAGCCAUAAAAAAGUUAAGAGAUGAAUUUUGCAGCAAGAAAACCACCAAGCGAACGCCGCGCGAGAUAAAAAUCCUCCGUCACAUGGAUUAUGAAAACGUGCUUUCUGUUGCGCUGAAACUUGACGUUUUGUUUUAAUCUUUUGCAAUUAUGAACUCCCUUAGUUCUUCCCUUCUAUAUUUGGUCCAUGGAGCUUCAGCACAGUUUAUUUACUGUUGCAUAUUCCGGUCAUGUGCAAUUUCUUCAUGGUCUUCGGUUUCUUGUUGCAUGGACUUGUAAUGACUUUCUUGACUUGGAUCAGGUCAUUCCCAUUACCGAUAUCAUUCCUCCUCCAACUAGAGAGAGUUUCAACAAUGUGUACAUUGUAUAUAAGUUGAUCUUUUGCAGAAUGGAUAUCCUUCAAACCACGUAAAAGUUGUUAAAGGAAACACUGCACAUGGAUUCUCACAUGUCAAGAACUUUGAUAAAGAUAAAUGAAUCUUGCUUCAGUAAGUAAGCUGGACCUCUCUUGAACCAUCCAAAGUUACAGUACACUUCCAAAUCCUCGAAGCUGCAUCUCAAAAUAUUACUUGAUCAGUACAAUCCAAAGUGCAAUCGCCGAUUUUCACUUGCAACAACUUCUAACCUUGUAUUUCGAUUGAAUAUUUUAAAGUCUAACAAAAAAUUCUUGAAUUUUUUAUAUUUUCAUGUUGUCUCUCAGGUUUUAAGUUAACGAGAAAAACAUCUCCAAGAACAGGUGUGUAUGACAACUGGAUAGUGAUCUGUCGUAAGAGGUUGGUAUGCCCAAAUGAUUUGCAAAAGAUCUGAAUCCACUUAUCAUUUGUACAUUAUAUAUAAGUUGAUCUGAAUCCACUUAUCAUUUUAUAUCAGUGAAAUGAUAAUGCUUUGAAACCAAUCCUUUAUAAGAUGAGUCUAUACUUGUAAUUCUUAAUGAUCAGAAGGUGUUGUUCGCAUUUUGAUGUUGAGGGUUUUAGUAUUAAUCUGUUCAGUCACAUUGCAAUAUCCUGUAGCAAUUGCCGCUUAAAAUUGCUUUCGUAAAUGACAGCUCCUCGGACGUCCUGGAAAUCCGGAUCCUGGAUCUAUGGUUUUGUCAAGCAAUAAUCAGAGUGAUGUAAUUCGGCGAUUGAGCCAGUAUGUUUGUAUUGCUCGGCCUCAAAAAUACCAAAACGUUGCUCAUUCUGCUUUCGAUCUCGUCUACAAGAUGCUGCUCCAAGAUCCUGCAAGGAGAAUAACAGGUAUCAAUUCAACAGUUCUAUCAUGGGAUGAGCUAUAUCUUGCUAUUGGUGUUUAUGAUGGAAAGGCAGCGUUUAAACUACCCUUCACUUUCCUUUUAAUGUGAGUUGUUCAUAAUGCUUGUAUUACGCAAUGGAAACUGCUUUGCCGGACCCUUAUUUUGGCUACACUUCAUGCUCCUGGUAACGAGCCUGUUUCUGCGAUUCACCUAGACUUCGACUUUGAGGGACCCUCUUUCUCUGAAGAGCAAAUUAAGGAUCUCAUCUGAACGGAGCUAAUGGAUCAUAGCUCAAAUCCUGAAGUGAUGGGCGGCAGCAUCCAAAGUCGUUUUGCUGACGAAGAACUGUGAAAGAUCAUUGGUACAUCCCGGACAACCGUCCACGCUGCUUGAAGUACUUAAUGAUAAGAUCACGUUCAUUAGCUUUCCAAGUAACGACUGGACCCUAUAAGCAAAAUUGCUCAUACCACUCCUAUAACGCUACAAAAAUCUAGUCAACGAAGAGCCUCUAGAACUUCUUUAUAAGUAUGAGAAUGUCAUUUUAAGCGAGUGCAUAAAAUAUCCUACCAAAAUCACACAAGUAUGAAUAAACCAUGUCACACUGUAUUCAGCAUAACCUAUCACCUUAAAACCGCUUCAAGCUGAAAAUUGUUACAAUUCGCAGACUUUAAUGCAUCACUUUGUAUCAAAUCAGCAAGAGCGCAUAAUACAUAAUAGGUACGCAAUUGAGGUCCCUACAUAAUAGGUACGCAAUUGAGGUCCCCAAAAAAGAGAAACAAAUAGCCCCUGCUCCUUCCCCCCUAGAGCAGUCGUCAUAAAAUUGGCAAUGCAAACGAACACAUCAAACAUCACAAGAAAUAAACCCUGGAUUGGCCAAACAAGAUAUACAUGGAUCACAACCCUAAGACGCACAGCAACUCAUCUCCAAGAGUUCCAGACAGGAGCGCAGUCCUACCACAUCCCCCCCUCAUAUUAAUUACCCAGUCUUAGUAGUUGUGAGCUUUCCACUUUGCCUUCAAUGCCCAUUCGUACCAGCUAGUCCACAUUAGGGUUCACCUUUGGGAUUCCUGAGAGUCAAGAGCACCUCUGAAAAUUGCUUACAAAAGGCUCAAAAUCCAAAUAUCAGUUGAGAAAAUCAACACACCUUAAGAGCAGCGUCAGUCACAUAAAGCAUAACCAGUGAGAUUUGACGUGCACAAGGUGCCUUAUUAUACAAUGAGUUUGAAUGAAAUAUAGACUAUGACAUCCAAGGUUCUAGAGCUAUUUUGUUUAUCCAAAUUCUAAGAUAAUAUUCAUUUGUUAACUUUGGAUAAUUUAAUAUUAAUAUCCUUUCUCAUUUGAGGUUUCUUGUCAUUUUAUUGUUUUUAUUCUUUUUCUAAUCACAGUCAAGUCAUAGUGAUAAGAAUAUUGAAAGAAAUUUGAUUAUUUUUAUGCUAUUUAACAAAUGAUUGUGGUAUGUGUUUUUUUUUUUCUUUUGUAUUUUAUGUUGAUGCUUUUGUACUUUUCUAAUUGUGCUAACAAGGAUUUGUAUUUAUAGUAAAGGGAGACUUAUUCUAUUUUGCACAUACAUGAUUUUGGAAUUGUUGUAAAAGUUGUAUUAUACUUUUGAAUUUGUUGAUGGUGCAUUGAGUUACAUAUUCGAAUAGGGAGUAUUGAGUGAUGUUGUCAAAUUGGAUUUAAAUAGACCUUUUUACAUGUUGUUUUUCAGUAUUGUUUUUGAUAAAUGUAUAUACUUGUGUUUUUAAGAGCUAAUUAUUAUUUUCUUGAGUAAGGGACAUUGAGAAGGACAAUGUAGCUAAUAUAAUUGUUCUAAUAGUUAUGGCAGUCUAUGCUCUAAGAACACCAUUGCUUUUUGACAUGGAAAAGUCUGCGUCUUCUUAACAUUGUUGUUGGCAACAAACUACGUCUUAUGUGCCUUCAAAUUUGUCUUUUGUUAAUCUUAGACAUUUUCAUAAAAUAGGGAUUUAAUGAUGUAACUUCUUUUUAAGUAAGAUUUUACAAUUAACAACCAUAGAUUUAGCUAAUAUUAUUUUUUGCUAAAGAAUAUAUUUUUUAUAUUGUAUAUUUUUUUAUAUAUAUGAAAAAUAUUAUAAUUUAAUAUUUUCUUUAUAUGUCUUAAUAUAUAUAUAUUUAGUAUCAUCUAGAUGGAAUUUUUGUAGAUUACCUAUGAAGCUAAUAACUUGGCUUACAAUAUAGAAGAUAUGUAGUUAAGUAAUAAUUAGAAUAAUAGGUGAAGUCAUUGUAAGAGGAAUUCAUAUCAUUAACAAAGACUAAGCCUUUUGUCAAGGAUGUUUUGGACUUCUUACAGUUAGAUAUUCUAAAUUAUUUAAGAAUAGAAAGUAAAUAUUCUUUUUGAUAUAAAAACAUGCUAUGUGGAAUUUAUUCAAAAUUUAUACCAAGAUGUCUUUUUAUUUUUCUAAUGUCAAUCAUAUCAAAGUUAUCAUGCAAGAAAGAUUUGAGCCACAUAAUCAAUUUUUCAUUGUUAUUGGUAACAAAUAAAUUGUUGGCAUAUAACAAUAUAAUAAGUACUUGUCAUAGACAUAUAUAAUUAUCUAAAUAAGAAGUAUUAGGUUAAAAACUUAGCUAAUAAGUUACCUAUAUAUUACACAUAUUGGCAACUUGUGAUAUAAGUUGGCCAUGUGGCUUACAUGUAGAAAACUUGUUUUGUUGUUAGACACAUAUCUUACAAGUUGGAUACAUUUCCAAGAUCCCAUGGAACGAUGCUAUGUAGUUUUUACUGAAAUAAUACAUAAAGACAAGAGUAAAGCUUUCUUUACUCUUAUCAAUGCCUUCAUUCUUUUUAGUUUUGUUUCAAGAGUCUCUAGUCUUCUUUUCUUUGCUAAUAGCCAUUCUAGUUUGAUAUCAUACUAUCUUUCAAUGAUUAUCUACUCUUUUUGAGCAACAUAAGAGUGUAUUGAAGUUUUUAUUGAUUUGUGUCGUUGAUAUUACUUCUUCAUUCUAAUGCAUGUAGUACAUAUUAGCACCAUUGUUACUACAAUUCAUUCAUUUGUCAUGUAGAAUUUUAUCUAUUCUUUUGUACCAUGCUUGUAGCGAUUAUUUUAGAAUGUAUAGAAAUUUUUGAGAUUUUCAAAUUAGAUGUUUUUAUCUUAGAGAUAUAAAACCUUAAGGUUGGCAUAUAUAUAUAUAUAUAUAUAUAUAUAUAAAUAGCUAUUGAAAAAAUGCUUAUUCAUACAUCUAUAUGAUGUAUAUUCUAUUUAUUGGCUAUAUUUAAUGUUAUUAUGGUUUGCAUUAUAGACUACUUAAUGACGAGAAUAAAAGAUUUUGAGAAACCAAUACCUUUUUUCUGUUCAAAGUUUCAAGCAAAAAUUGUAUCUUUUUUUAUUAGGUGAUUUUUUAAACCCUAGUUUUAGUUUAUAGAUCCAUUUGGAUGUAAUAGGUUGUUUUCUUGAGAGUAAAGAUUGAAGAGUCUAGGUAUUAUUUAUUUAAUAGAUUAUAUUUUAUUAGCUAUAGCUUAUCUUUACUCUUUGUUGUGAUAUAGCUUGUUGUGUAUAGAUUAUGUUUAAUACCUAUAAAUGCUUCUUCUGGUGAAAUAAAUUGUAGCAUCUUUAUUGAACUAUAGUUUUAAAUAUAAUUAAUGUUUUCGGCAACUUCUUCUUAGAAAUACCUAGGCAUAUUACUACAUAUCAUAAUGCUUUGAACGCCUUCAAAGAAUGUGUAAUUUUUAUGCUUUGCAAGUCUAUUUUGUUGAGAUGAAUAGUAAACAAUCAUUUGUUAAUGGAUGCUUUUGAGUUUGUAGUAGGAUGUCUAUUCUCCACCUCUAUUGACAUGCAAGUACUUAGUUUUCUUGAUAUUUUCUUCUACUAUUGCUUUAAUUUUUUUUAAAGGUUUUAAGAAUCUCUAAAUUAUCAAACAAGUAAUAGAGCCAAAUUUUUAUAGUAAAAUCAUCAAUGAAGGUAAGGAUCUUCUUAUUAUCUUAUUUGGAUUGAAUAAUCAUAGGUCUAUAAAAUUCAAAAUGGAUUAGUUAUAAAGGUUGUGUGAUAGCAAUGUUUUGUUUCUUGAGAUGGUUUUUUUUAUAAUUUUUUUUUAUUAUGCAUAAUUAUCAGAUUUAUUUAAUAAAAGAUAGUUUUAAAUUUCCAACAAUAAGGCCUUUGUUUUUUAUAUAUUAAAGAGUUUGGUAAUUAAUAUAGUUGAUCUAGCAAUGCCAUAAUUUUACUAUGUUGAAAAAAUUCAAAUAGGCUUAUAUUUUAUGAUGGUUCCAAAUUAUUUUGUUAAGAUAACAUAUAUUGAUGAUUCUAUGGUAUAUAAGUGAGUUGAGUUUUCUUUAACCUUGUAUAAUAUGUUAUUGGCUCUUAUUAUCUCAAAGUAGAUUUAGUUAAGAUCUUCUUGUUUAUAAAUGUAAUAUUAUUUUGAAUCAAAGAAGAUUAAAUAACCUAAAUUUAUAAGCUUGUCAUUUUAUUUUUUUUUGUUUUUUAAAUCUUAAAAAAAUUUGAAUGUUUUUAACUUAUUUAUUUUUUCUAGUAUAAUUUGAGAUGGUUAUAAUAUCUUUGAUUUUUAUUGGUAAGAUUUCUCUGCCAAUGGUUUUAAUAUUAGGAAAUUUUACAUCUAUUAUAUAUGAUAAUAGAUGUUUAUUGCUUAAUACAUAAGAACUUGCUUCAAAAUCCAAGAACCAAUCUUCUUUAGGAUCAAAAGCAUCUAUGCAAGCAUUCAUAACUUCAUCUUCACCACUUUCUUUAUCUCCUUGAAUUUUGAUAGAGUUAAUGUAUUAUUUUUUUGCCUUUUAAUUCAACCAAUUAGAUAUGCAUAUAUUUGAUUUUAUCUUCUAUUUUAGCUAUGUUGCAAUCUUAAGCAUAGUGACAAAGUUUAUGAUAUUUGUAGCACUAGAUUUUUUACAUGUUAACUUGAAAGUGGUUUCAUCCAUCUUGAUAGUUCAAAUGUCCUCUAGAACUUUGUUCACCAAAGCUUUAGUUUUAAUGGGUGUUUUGUCUUUUAGAGUUUGUCCUUCAAUUUUUAGUCCUAAAGUACAAGUUUCUUUUUCCUUCUUUGUAAUCUUUUUUAAUAGCCCUAGUUGUUUCUUCUUGCAAUAGUAAAUUUUUGAAUUUGAAAAAAAUAGAUUGUCAUUCUUUUCCUUUCUAAAUAUAUUUAAAGAUCAACCAAAAAUUUAGAAGACUUGAUAAGGUGAGAUUAACUAAGACUUUAUCAAUUAGGGCUAUAAAAAAAAAAAACUUGAUAAUUUGUUAUCCAAGUUGUUGAUUUCUUGAAAGUGAAUUUUAAUUGAAUUUUCUUUUGUUAGUUGUAAUAAAAAGAGUUUUUCUUUCAAGGAUAGUUAUUAUAAGUUGUUCUUUAUAUUAUAUAACUAUUGUAAUUGUAACCAAAUAUCUUUGGAUUUUGUGAUAUGUAGAACAUUAAUAAGGAUUGAAUCACGGACCAUGAAUGUUAUAAUUUAUCUAGUUCUAAUGUAUUAUGCUUGUAUGUUUGUAGAAAAUUAUGGUAAAAUAGCAUCCACUCCUACUAUAAUUGUUGUUUAGCAUGUUAUUUGAGAAAUUCUACUACUAGAUGUUUUUGAACUUCAAGACCUUUUUGCUGAUUCUUUGUAUUUUUAUAGAUCCUCCUAUAUCAAGAUCAUCUCGACCUUGUAACUGUAUAUCAUAUAGUUGGAGUGUUCUUCCAACUUCAUUGAUUUAGACACAUCUCUAACUGCCAAAUCUAUAAUUGUAAAUAAAAUAGAUAAAUAAAAAUGUUAUUCUUUCAACUAGGAUUAUGUCCAAGUAAUCCUAUAGUUCUUUGCUAGUUGAAGACUAUGCCUUUCAACUCACUUGUUUUAUCCAAUACUAAGUGCGCUAUAAUUUCAUAUUGCAAUAAAUAUAACAAGUGAGAUUUGAUAUAUACAAGGUGUCUUAUUAUAUGAUGAAUUUGAAUAAAAUAUGAAUUGUGACAUAUAAGGUUUUGGAGCUAUUUUGUUCAUCCAAAUGUUGAGAAGAUAUUCAUUUAUUAACUUUGGAUGACCAAAUAUUAACAACACUCAAAUAGGAACUUUAUUCUGAAAUGCAAGAUCUUAGGUAUUUUCACUGAAUUGGUGUCAUAAGCUAGAAACAAAAUAGAAAAUAACAUUGAGUAUUCUAUAACCACUAUACUUAACAAGUCAUUUUGAAACUGCAAUGAUUAUGAAUGCAUUAAAGCAUUUGCACAAAGACGUGGUUUUGCCACUAGUAGCCGAGAGCUUGAACUCUCUAAUUCCUUAAAGACCCCUAAUCAAACAUCUGAAGUGAAUUCUCUUGCUUGUCUCUAAUACCCUCUCUUUGAACUAUUAAACUUGUAAGUGUGGAAAGGAUCAAAUAAUUUUUGCUUAUGAGGGAACAUUUAUGAUUUGUGAAGAGUUAAUGUUUGUGGAGUUAUGAGAUGUAUGUAUCACAUAUUGUACAAAAAUAAUUACUAAAAGUACAAAUUCAAAAAUCACAAGAAUAUAUUAUUUGGUUUAUUUUGUCAAUAUUGCACUUCCUUGCCAUUAUUUGCAUACUGAUAGCUUUCAAACAUGAUAAAAAAAAAUAUUUUUGUUAAUUAUAAUUCAAAUAAAGAAUGAUAUUAUAUAUUUAUUUAUUUGUGUAUUAUUCUUUUGUUUACUUUGUUGAUUUCAUACAUGCCUAUUUUGAAUUUUUUAGAAAUUUUAUUCUACCUUCAUUCUUCGUCUUGUUAAUUUUUUUCAAAAACUUUGAUUUAGAAUUCACAGUAUGUAAGUGUAUUGGCAGUUCACACUUUAAGAGAAUACCUUUUCUUUCUUAAAUAAUUAAUUUAAAAAAACUAUUUUCUUCAUAAUCAUGGCAACACAAAUGCAUUACCAUUUUGCAACCAAACCUCCUUAUAUAUAUAUAUAUAUAUAUAUAUAUAUCUUAACUUUUCACUCAGAUAAUAUUUAUGAAUAUUGAUUCCACAUAUCUAAUUCACAAGAAAAAGUUAACUUUCAACAUUUUCUUAUAAAUCCAACAAAUCCAUGUGCUUCUAAAGCAAGCUCAAGGUUUUUGUUUGGUAAAUUUUUAAUUUGAGCUUCAAGAAACUUACACUCAUCAUAAGACUUGUAAUAAUUCAAAACCAACAUUAUUUUAUUCACACUUGUUUAUUUUGCAUAUGCUUUGAUAAAUGCACAAAUUUAUCGUCGCGUCGUGAACGCUGUGCCGCGACGUGGUGGUGAGGAGCUGCUGCAGCGACGUGAUGCGGGACAAAAGCCACAACGAGUUGGACCCUUGAAGCAGUAGCAGCAGUUCAUCCACUGCAUGCACGUCAUACCAUCCCACUCUUGUGUAAACUUUUGUGAUGUGAGUAAAGUGUGAGCAUGUUUCAUGUUUCGCACUUCGGAGCGGAAAAAUCAACGUAACUUGACGUGUUUUUUCCUCUGUCCUGUGUGGGUGCCUCGGGGCCUUUGUGGAGCGCAUAGUGACGCACACCUGGUUUGGAUGGGGAGAGUUCCCCUUUCGAGCGGUUGGAUUGGGGUUGUCGAUGUAUUCGUGACAUUGUUGUGCAGGUGUGACUUCAGAACGUGGGAACAGAUACUGUGUUGAAAGGAGGAGAUCGAAAAUGCGAGGUUUCGAGGGGGCGUGGGUUUCUCAUUGCUGUGAGUUUAGCGUAUGGAUUACUGAAUAUAAACAUGCCAGAAACACUACAAUAACCCCUUCUCUCCAGAUUACAGUUGCAUUUCUGUAGUAUUGAUUUUCUGCAAAUUAGUUUUCAGAAACAAAGGCUGACCUGGGCCCUCUUAUGAUAAAAAGACCACAAGAAAUCGCCUUGCAUCCUGCUCCCUCCGAAUUUGUAGUUUACCUCCGAGUAGUACCGCCUAUACAAGUUGCGUUAGGUGCUGGUAAUCGUCGGUGGUAGCCUCAAUCAUGUUUGAGAGUAUGACUUACUUCGUGGAGAGGAUACCCAUUAGAAUUGCGUUUGGAGCUUCCUCGAGAUUCAUGGACGAAACUGCACUAUCAAAAGCAUCUUGACUUCGGAUAUAGAUUUUACAGAAACGGGUACGCAAUGGAUAGGUAAUCUAUAACAGGAAAGCGUGGUGCGUGAGAAGAUUUUUCACCAUAAAACUAGCCACAGCAAAUCAAAUAGAGGUAACGGUGAGAUUUCGGGUUGAAGGUAUUCAAAUCUUUGGAUCACAAUACAUCGUCACAUGCUUGAAGACCAUUCCAGUGCUGGAAUGAUUCUAGCAGAUCAUUGAAUCACUACCCGUGCGUAUCCCCCAUUUCCAAAAUCACCCUAGUUACGGAAUGGUGCCUCAAGCUUGUCAAUGACAAGCUUGUGAACCUUGAAUGCAGUCUCAUGGACGACUUUGGGAAUGCCGGUGCCGAACAAGGUCACGGGCAGAGACACGGUUCCGGGGUUGGAGCUGCUGAAGGCAGCGUAUGCAAUCACGGGCAGGCGGCUUAAGUUGAUCUGGUAGUGUACUAAUCCCUUGGGGAAAACGAACACAUCGCCCUCCUGCAACACGGCGGUGAAGAGCUUGUUGGCGGUGUCGAUGAGGCCCACGUUCAGAGUUCCCUUUAACACGAUCAACAGCUCGGUGCCCCGAGGGUGGAUGUGGAAAGGGUUGAUGCCCUCGGGCAAGUACUUGAGGAGUGCAGAUGACACAGCAAGGUUAGUGAGAACCGGGAAUUCAUUCGAGCCAAGUCUUUUGGCACUGAACUUGGCACCUGCGGCGAUCACUGGCUCACCACGUAACAGCGUAGAAGUGAAGUAGUCACUUCCGAUAUUAUUCCUGUCAACACCGGGUGGGAUAAAGUAAUCGCCAAGGGUCUCGGGUUCGCAGGCCUGGGCUGCGAACACGAUGGCCGUGACUACCAACACUGCGAAAGCAACUCGGGCUGCCAUGUUUCUUUAUCACCUGCAUGCGCAAGGGUUUCAAUGCUUCUUGGCCAGUGCAGCAAAGAGACAAAAUCACAAUGCACAAAUUCGUCUAUAAACUGAACAGUCAAAUAAAACACAUAACUUCAUUUCAGUCUGGUCUCUGACUUGCAAUCCUCACUUCUGAAACCGAAGUCCACAAUGUAAGCUCCUGGUCUCGCCCCCGUUGAUCGUUCCAAGAGAUCUCCGACGGCAGGUGACAAUGAAUUGCAUCCAGCAAGUCGGACAAGCCACGCCUGGUUCGCAGCUACUGGAAUUUCCAAAGGAGAGGACCGACAGAGUUGACGGGGUGUUCAAUACCAAUGACAGCAUCGACAGUGAUGUAGAAAUCAGCACAGUGACGACCUUAAAUCCAUUUUCAGAUAGAGACCUGACGUCAUCCUUUGUGCGAAAGUUGCUCAUUCCCCUACGUGGAUGUGAAGCGGGGCGUUAUAAUCUUCCGUGAGCUAGUGAACGAUUCCCACGAUCAUUUCUGGCUUAACGACAUCGUGCAAAGGACCUCCACAACACCUAGGAAUCGAAGCUGUAAAGCACUAGCAUUGACUUCGCCACCCCAGUGAAUUUGGUGUACGUGCCAUGCACGAGCUCUUUCUCACCACUGGUCGCAUGCAUCGAUACAACGAUGGGAUGAAGAUGAAGGCAGCUGGAACAAAGAGGCGAACAAACGUCGGUAAGUAGGCGGAGUGUGUACGCACUUGGGUCAUCAGAUUCCCGCAGCAGCAGCCGAUGGAGCUGCAACGCGAGGUGGCCGAGCUGCGCUCCUCUCACUGGGUUCGCGUCGCCGCUACUACAGACGCGACCCGCGCCGCGACGCCAGCGUGGCGUGGCUAGCGCGCCGACGUGGCAACUCAGUGGGGUUCAUUCACGAUUGAGUGAAUUUGAUUUUGAUGCUGGAGACCGUAUUGAUUUGAUUAUUUUAUUAGAAGUCUUUUAAUGAAUGGUUCAAAUGUACUUAAAGACGGGAAUUUUCUUUGAGAGGAAGAAAUAUAACUACAGAAUAGUGUAUCAAGGUAGCUUUUACAAAAUGAUGAUAAUAAAAUAUAGAGAUUAAAGAAAACAAAAAAAAACUGUGAUCGAUACAUGUCCAAAAGAGAUACGAUAAUAGCGAUGAAGACUCUGGCAUUUCAAAUUAUUAAGGAUUUGAUUCAUUUGCCGAUUUCAAUAUAUAUAUAUAUAUAUAUAUAUAUCUAAAAAAUUAACAUUAGUAAUAUAAAAUUGUAGUAGUUAUUUGUUUUGUUUUGUUUAUUUUAUUUUAAUUUAAUUUAAUUUUUAAACAAAAAAAAUGUAUUUUCACACCUAUAGACAUCUAGAGUCUUUUGACGCCUCUUACAUUCUUUUCAAAUAAAUUGAACCUUUUAAAUAUUAAAUUGUAGUGUUGAAUAUUUUAUUGAUUUUUUGUUUUCUAGAUAUUUAAAGUAUAAUACAAUUUUAAUUAAUUUAUGUGAAGAUUUAGAUAACAAGCCUUGUUAAAAAUAUUUUUUAAAAAAAUUUUCAUUAGCAAUUUAGGCAAAAUUCCAUUGAAAUAGGAACUAUAAGUUACCAAUUUGAUAUGUGAUAAAUAAUUUUUUUGUAAUGUAAUCAAUUAUCUUCUAGAGUUUUAUUAACCAAUUAAAAUCCUAUAAUAAAGCUAAAGCUUGUUUUUUUCAUAGAUACACUAUACAUGAGACUAAACAAGAAGUUGAACAAUAGAGUUUCAACAAAAAAAAAAAAGCAAGAAUUUGAUUAAAUCAAAUGAGUAUAAGAUUAACACUAAGAAAUGUGAGCUAAAACUCCAAAAGAUGUAUUAUUGAGACUAAGGAUUCCCUUAGCAUUGACUCUAAUAUAUAUCAAGAAGCUUCUCAAAAAGUUCCCAUAUUACUUGAAGACAAAGCAAUCCUAAGAAGCUUCUUUGAUAAUUUCCUUAAUCUUUUUAGAACUUUUUAAAAUUUAUUGAAAUAUUUUGAGAACCUUUAAGAAUAUUUUAAGAAUAUUCUAUUAAAACAUUCUAGGAAUAUUCUGAAAAAUUUGAGAAUCCUCUUGUUGAAUGUUAGUGACAAUAUUAUUAAAGUAUUAACUUUUUAACUUCAUAAUUUGAUCUAAAUUAUUUUAAAAGCAUAAAAAUUUAUAACUUUGUUUGUACUAUAGUAAUAUAUAUAUAUAUAUAUAUAUAUAUAUAUAGGUAUAUAUGUAUUACUAUUAUUACUAUUAUAUGUAGUAAUGAUAUAUAUGUAUAUAUAUAUAUAUAUAUAUAUAUAUCACUACUACUAUGUCUUGAAGUUUAUAAAUUAUUUCUUGAUUUGUGUAUUUAAAACUAGACGUUUUUGUAAAUUGGAAUUAAAUAAUAUCUAAAAGCAGAUUUAAAUGCAAUCAAAAAGAUUGAUAUUUUAAAGACAACAACAUUGUACUAACUUAUUUAUUUAUUUAUUUAUUACAUACAUUGUAUACCUCAUUUUGUGAAAGUACUAUGAUAUAAGCAACAAAGUCUUACAAAGUUAACAAAGAAAACCUAAAGACCUUAUAUUUUCAUAAUAAUGAAUAUAAUAAUAAGUAGGAUAUAUUUUGUAAUAUUUUAUUUAUAUAUAUUUUUAAAAAUCUCAUUUAAAAACUAUAAAUGAAUCUAUAGAGAAUUCUAUAAAUAUAAAAAGAAUUAAAAUAUUUUAAAAGAAUAUUAUAAAUAUGAUGUUGCAUAUAUUGUGACAAAUUUUUAUUUAAAAUUUUAAAAGAAAAUAGAAUUUAUGUAUAAAUAUAUAUAUAUAGUAAGUUAUGAAAAAAGCAUAAUUUUUUAGUAAUAUUUUGGAAUGAAAAAAAACUUUAUCAACAUCCAUUUAAAGCUCACUCACCUAGAGUCACCUCAUUACUAAAAAAUAUAUAUAAAAUAAAUUGUAUAUUAUUAUUUUUUUUAAAAAAAUCGCUCUAGCACAUUUGGUGGUGAGAAAAUCUACACAAAGUGCUUGUUUUUUAUAUCGUGGCCAACAGCACAUACGGCGCAAAAAGUAUACCCCUCGAAAAAAGCUACGGUUGACAGUGGUUCAAAAACAAAUUCCCGGUUCCCGAUUUUCCGUCCCUGAGAACGGAUUUCCCAUCCACGACGCAUUCAUCUAAAUCACAUCUAAAAUUUACAUAUGAUUUUCAUCCAUAAUUCAUACAUCCACACGUAGUUUCAUCCAUCCAGCUUGAGGGCUCUUCUGCAACGGGACCGGGGCCAUGAUGAGACAGCGAGGGUGUCGGCAGUGUCGGACCCAGAAUUUUACACACCCCCAAACGAUGCCGCUUGUGCAUUCAUGACGCAGGAAUGGGCGUCACGACCCGAUCACCACAUGCGUCGAGGCUGGCUCGCUGGAUGGCUAGCUUGCUACUACUACUGCAGCUGCUGCGGCGUUACGACCACUCCUCCUCCUGCCCUUGGAAUUGCUGCUGGCCCCCCUCCCUCACUCUUUUCCCACCCCUCCUGGGAUUUCUGGAGUGGUGCCCUUUGUGUUCGCUAUUUCUAUCAGCAUCUGCGUUUCUCCCCUUGCGUUCGUGCUCGCCACGGCGACAGACCACAGCGCUCAUGACGUUACUAAGAUGCAGCAGCGGUGGCGUGGAGGUGGAUCUUUGUGCUGUGGCCAUGGUCUUGUUUGCUGCAGGAUUAGACAUUCACGGAAUGAGGUAUUUCCUUUCACGAUCGGUUGUUGGGAUAUUUUUUAUUUUUAUUUUUAUUUUAUUUUUUAAUGUUUUGAAGUGCCUGCAUUCGGUUGCGUGUAAGUUGAGUAGCAUCAGAAUUUCAGCCUUUUUUUUUCUUUUUUUUUUUGCAGAGGUCAGAGGAGCAGUAGUGACGUGGAAGAAAUGGGGAGCAGGAGGUAGCAGACGGUGGGAAUUGGGGUUUUUUUUUCGCCUGUGGCGAUGCUCAAGCGCUGCACUCUAUCGGAUGCUGGUAAGUUUGUGUCUGGUAAGUUUGUGUCUUGUGGGGAUCUGGGUUGUUCGUCUUCGUGGUAUUUGGGGUCAAUUUCUGCCCAGGAAUCGUUGUGGAAGAAUUGAAGUAGCACUGUAUAACACACCGGUCGCACUUAAAGAACUUGGGUUGUUUUGGGUUGAUUGCGACCUGUAUCUUUCUUUCGUCCUUCCAUGAUGUGCAAUGGCAAUUAGAGUUCGAGGGAGGGUGUUAACGAUUCUUCGCCUGAUGCCACAGUGGCAUUAUGGUGACUACUUCCAUCGAGAACCUUGAGCUUGCUGCAUUUCUUCUCUUCGUUGUGACAUGGAGAGAGUUAAAGUCUUGUGAAUAAUCGCAAUGUCUCCACUUGAUUCUUGGCUCUUGAAAUGGAGCCCAUCGCAUGGAAGAGUAAAAAUCGGAUGGUAUCACUUCGGAGAAAGGGAUGCUUAAAAUAAAGUACAGCACGGCAUUAGAGGACUAAGGAAUAGUAAGGUUUUUAAUAGCGCACUAUCAAUCAAAUUAACCGGAUUUGUGUGCGCAGGAGAAUGUGAUAGAGAUACGCAGAAUGGCCUUUUCAGAACGAGAAGAAUCAGUGCCUGCCAACAAAGUCGUGAGGAAUGUGCAACCUCUCAGGGAUUUGUUUGCCGCAGAGAUGGCAAGCUCUUGCGUUCCAAGAAAGGAGAUGGCGAAUGGCUUGGCUGUUCAUGCCGGACCAUUAUGGGGUCCCACUGCAGGGAACCUUGAAAACCUCGCCAGUGAUACCAACAGAGAAGACGCGAAGUCAGUGAAAAACGAGUCCCAGGAGCUGCGAUUUUUGUUCGCGAAGGACUGGUCAAUGCAGAAUUCUGACGAUGAAGACGACUUUUGGGCUUCAGGGUCAUUGUGCGGAGCUGUGAUGACGCCAAGAAGGCGUACGAGACCCUUGAAGAGCGACAAAAAACCUCCCAGUUCUUCAAAUCAUUCACCCAGACAGUCGACGAAGAUGGAAUCAAGCAGAAUCAACUCUCCAUCAUCGUUGAAAACUUCGUAUUUAGCAAGUCGAUCCGGCGUAAUGCAGCAGCCCAGUGAACUGAGCCCUGGAUGUCUGUUCUCAAGAUUGACUGAAGAGCUGAGGGUUGGAUGUGGUGGAGCGAAACCCUCUCUGGGGACGUUGCUUGCUGCGGAAGUAGCAAUAGGUCGAGAUCAGAGGAGCGCGGACCGACGGGAAGGAAAUAUUGGGUUCGAAGGUUUCUCUUUCGAACGGGAUGCCGCUGUACGCAGCGGUGAGAGUAGCAGACGCGUCAAAAUCGGGUCCUUGUGUGAUGUCUCUGCUCCAGUGCACCCUGAGUCCCACACUCGAUUGAAAUAUCUGAUUGCGGAGUUUCUUACUUCAGGCACUAAUCCCGUGGUGGAGGAUGGCGUGUCUGAAAUGCACGAGAUUCAAAGACCGGUCAGGCAUGAACUUGACACGAUUGUCAAUACUUCGGCAAGAGAGGAUGGCCUGUGUUGCACUUCCGAGAGGUCGCAAUCCGGUACAAACCUGGAUGAAGAAGUUGAAACCCUCUUGAGCCCUACUUUUUCUCUAGACGAAUCUACGGAUGCCGAUGUGAAUUCGUCAACUCAAUCAACAGCGAAUGUGCCGAAUUUUCUCCCGAAUCCUCCAACUCCUGGAGUUUUUCUGGAAGUUCAGCAUUCCUCACGGGUCGAACCUCUCUUGACCAUUGUAAAUGCUCUCAACGCGGUGUCGGAUGCGGGUCUUAUAGAGGAAUCCGUAUUCAACAACGUGGAUGAUCUUGCACAGAGUAAUGCCGAUGGAGAGGAGGCUGAAGCACCACGAGUUCAAUUGGAGACUCUUUUAGAGCAGGCAAGGGGUGAGCAUGGCUGGUUGCCAUUAGGCCGAAGCCGAAUGGGCUCUCCUUCUCUGGUUGAAAGCCCGUCGUUAAGUUGUAGUAGCUCAAGAAUUAGUGUGCUUGGGAUGUCAUCUGGACCCCCUGAUGAUAAUUGCCAGGUUUCUCUUAGGGGAGUGGCAUCACGUCCCUCACAUGCUGUUGUGGAUGAUCCUUCCAAUCGUGAAGUUUUGAGAGAAGAACUUUUACCCAGCUCAGACAUAGUUGAACGACCUGAAAUUCAACAAUCAUCAGAUCCCGCAGCAGGGACAGAGACUCCUCUUGUAGAUGCUGCGAGAGAAGCUGAGAUCUUGACACCAGCAACAGAACAGCCCCCAAGGCGUGUGUCAUUGUUAUCUUUGUUGAACCAGGACAUGGAAAAUGUCGAGAAUGAGCUUGAAGCGGAGAAGGGAGUCGAUGAACAAGAUGAUCAUGUAACGGAGCAGCUGGAUCCCUUGUGCUGCGUGUGUAUGGUUGGCCACAAAGGUGCAGCAUUUAUUCCAUGUGGACAUACCUUUUGUCGAAGAUGUUGCCGGGAAGUGCGCAGAAGUAAAGGGUCCUGUCCUCUCUGCAACAAAGCCAUCAUCGAUGUCCUCAAUAUAUAUUAAGGUUUCUCCACUCAAGUAUUCAAUUUAACUGCAGCUCUUCCAUGGUCCUUGUUUUAGAUGGUGUCGGGUUUCAGGGUUAACUCCACCUCUCAAGUUUUGCAGUGUCUAGGAUGAUUUGAGCCCUGGUAGCUUUUGUUUCACGCGUGAGGAAAUUGGGACUUGUCAAAUAACUCUUCACUUAAAGGACUUGCACAUGCCACAACAGAAUCACAGGGAUUACUCAUUUCUGUAAUCAAUAGCGAGCUCAGAAUUCUUUAGCAGCAUAAUGCGACUACCGUUGCAAUUUUUUCUCAGUUAGGGUUAGGGUUUAGAUUUGAAACUUAUCUCAUCAGAACGUUGACCAGUGAGCAAAUACCUAUGAAGUGUACCGUUAUUAUUCUGCAAUGCUUCAUCUUGAUUUGUGACUGGAGAUAGAUUGUUCCUUCACCUUGAUUACUCAUCAGGUGGUUAUUCUCUGCUUAGUAGACUCAUAGGAAGUGUCCCGCAAUGUGAACGUUGAGGUUCAAUUGCUGGAUUUUUGUUUAUAUUACUGUUAUCCCUGUAAACUUAACGCCUUGUUAGCAAUUGAAAUUUAUCCUUCACGUUGUAGCUGAUUGCAAGGUCCUUUCAAAUGUUGAUUGUGGUCAGCCUGGAAACCGACAUGUAGUGUCCAAAACUAAGCGCAUGGCUGCUUGUAUCGACAAUCCUAAUCCACGUCUUUGAAAGAAUAAGCUCUAAUCUGAAAGCGGCUGUGGUAUAUGUGUAGGCAGCAUUUGAGCUUCAUUACAUAGUAAAUUCGGUUGCAAUCACGGAAAGCAUUGUGACCAAUUUCUGGAUCAGCCUCAACACAAUGCGUCUAAUUUCACUUGUACAUGCUCCACGCACCUGUAUACCCACGUGUGGGUCAAUUGCAAUUUAACGCAGGAUGAGAUGUGUCAUGUUCUCCUCAGCCCCUUCAACGAAAUCUUGCACUUUGUCCUGUUUUUAUCUUGCUCCUUUUAUCUGAAAACAUUGCUUUUCUUUGGUUCGGCACAAGUAAUCGUUUCCUAUGCAUCCAGUGCGGUUGGUGAUGUCGGGCAGAGAUGUGCGAUGUCUGGUACCUAAAGACCUAGACGGCCCAUGCUAGUGCUUCUCCUAUUUAAUCCUCUGACAAGUUCGGCAUAUAUAUAUAUAUAUAUAUAUAUAUUUGUGUCUGUCUGUGUGGAUGUAUUCUAUGAAUUACUGGCUUCAAGAUGGAGGAAGAGUCCAAAAGUAAAUAAUGAAAUAAUUGUUUGAUGAUCAUUAUAUAUAACGACUAAUUGUAAAGUUGUCAGGGAAAUAGAUGAUUGGUUUGAAGUCAACAACUUUGGAUGGAUUGUUUACAUCACUGGAAGUCUGGUUGAUUUCAGUUAAAGCAAGAAGAUUUUGUUCUUGAGGAUUAUCAUAAACACUUUAAAAGACAGAUCUAUGAUGGUUAGUUUCAACCGAUAAAAAUAAUUACUUUUGUAAAGUGCGUUUAAAAGUGUGAAGUGUGAUGUUGUCGGCAAUUGAAAUAACAUGAUUUUGUCCCUACCAAUGACCAAAUUAAAAGUAUGUGAACAAUUUCACACUUACAUUUGUGAAAAAUAUUUGAAGAAAUUUAAUUCUGCUUGAAUUAUAAUUAAAAUUAAAUUAUAUUUCUAUCUAUCAUAUAUUCUAUAAGACAGUUUGAGUACAAGAAAUUUAAUUCUGCUUGAAUUAAAAUUAAAACUAAAACAAAAAAACAAAAAAAAUCUCCCAAAGAGUGUGAGGAACUAAGAUUAAUUAAAUAAUUUUAUUUAUUUAUAAACAGAAUAAACUAGAAUUAUGUAAAUUUAAAUAUAUUUCAAUAAUAAAAUAUUGAGAAAGAUUAGAUUUUAAAAAAAAUCUUAAUUGAGAAGCUUCCUAUGCCAAAAGAUUUAUUUUGUUUUUUUGUUUUUUUGUUUUAUUAUUAUUUGGUAAAUAAGAUUUUAGAAAUUUAAACAAGUUGCACCUUCUAGUUAAAAUCAAAAUAUGUUCCAAUAUUUAUAUUCCAAUUCAAUGGUUCUUAAAUAUUAAUCUAUCUAUUAUAUAUUCUAUAAGACAGUUUGAGUGUAACACAAAAAGACAAAGAAGUCUUUUGAUUGGUUGUGAAGAAGGGAAUGAGGGGAACUUGGAGAACAUUGAAACAAUGAAACUAUGGAAUCAAAGAUGAACAAGAGAAUGGAUGGAUGUGCCAAAGAUUAUAGUGCCCAAUGGCACAAGUUUCCACUAGUAUAUGUAUAAUACUACAAUGAUUAUAUGGACAUCACUAAUAUUACAAAAAAAAAUUUUAAGACCAUAAUAUAAAAUCAAUUUUUUAGAUAAAAAUUUGAAAGUAAUAGAAAUAAAAUACUUGAGAAAAUAAAAAAAUUAUCACAGAAAAAAUAAAAAUUAUUUAAAUUCAUAUUAACUUAAUUUUUGUUGAUUACUUUUUAUUUAACAUUUUUAUUUUGAUUUAAAGAAAUCUUACAUUGUACAUGAAUUUAUUUAACUUUCUUUUUGGAAUAUGUAUAUAUAUAUAUAUAUAUAUAUAUAUGUGUGUGUGUGUGUGUGUUUGUAGAGAGAUCUUCCAAAUCUACAUUGGAUUUAAUAACCAUUAAAAUAGAACUUGCACAUACAAGAAAAUAAUUCAAGUUUACAUUUUUAUCAAAUUAGUAAAGAAUUAAAAACACAAAUUUACUGUAAUGUAAUAAAAAAAAUUCUUUUCUUUCAAACAUUUAAAUUUCAAAACAUUAUAAAUCAGUACAUAUAUGCCAUAGUUUUGUACAUUGUCGAUAUAUUGCAAUUUUUAAGUUAGAAAAAAGAUUCUAUGCUUCAAUGUUAUUAGAAAAUCUGUGUUUUUAUAGAUAUAUUUUAUGUGUAUAUAUAUGUAUAUAUAUAUAUAUAUAUAUAUAUAUAGCAUGUAAAAUUAUAAUAGUUCCAUAAUCACUAUUAAUUAUUAUAAUUAAAUACAAAAAUAUAUUUUCAAUUAAUAAAAUCAAAUCUAUAUAUUAAUCCUAAUAUUAUUCAUAUAGAUUUUUGAAAUAGUUGUUUGCUAAUAGUUUUGUUGUAUUACCAAAUACAACAGAUUAAAAAUAAAUAAAUAAAUAAAAUCUCAAAAUCAUAUGUGUGUGUUAAUAUAUAGUAAUAAGAUAUCCUAAUGAUUUAUAAGCCAUAGGUAAAAGUAACAAUAACUUUUGUUGAAAUUCAAAUCUUCAUAUAAAGUGAUAUUGUAUAAUUCUUGAAUACAUGAAAAAAUAGAAUAUAAAAUUUUAAAAAUUAUUUCUUUUAACAAAGCAUUCUAAAUAUUGUACGUGUAAUCAGAUUAAAAUCUAUAAAAAAUUAAAGUUAUAAAAUAAUUGUACAUAAUUAAUUUACACUGUCUAUCAACUGAAAUUUAUGAAUUCAAUAAAUGUAGCUAAAAUUAUUUCUUUCAUUAUGUAAAUUCUUGAUAAGAAAAUAUGGUAUGAAAUGCACAUUAUAAUUUAAUUUAGAUUUUUAAAUCAUACAAUUCUAAAAAAACCAUUAUGACUUUAAAAUACAUAUAAAAAUGUUAUUAAAAUAUUAUAUGGUAAUAGUUUUGUAAUGUAAUACUACCUGAACUAUUACUUGAAGUAUUAGAUGUUAUGAGAAAUGUGUCCAGAAAGAUAUUAAAGCAAGAAAAAACCUAAUAUGUACAAGUAAAAGAAACAUAUAAAUAAGGCGCUAGAAUGAAUUUUAUUUGAAUUCAUAGAUGAAAAUACAUGAAAUUACAUGAUCACAAAUGACAUGCUGAUGAGAUUAGUGACAGUGCCAACCUUAAAACUUAGUAUUCUAAUUAACAAAUCUGUUGUUUAUGGACACUCUAUUGUUGUUAAUAUUGCAAAAUACUGCAUAAUAAGUAAAAUAAAAAAUAAAAACCCAGUUCGAUUGUGCCUAGUAGUAUUUUAGAAAGAGAUAAUUCACAUACCGACAUCCGCAAAAGCUACAUCCUGAUAAGCUCUCACAACUUUCUGUUCAUUUCUCAGACAGUACUCAACAAGACUUUUCAACUGUAAUACAGUGUACAGGCAAGAAGUAUUAAAAUAUCACACAACUUCAGCUUCAUAAAGUUAGGGAACUGUCAGAGUUUCGAGGCAAAUCAUCGGACACUUUUACAACAACGUAACAAAAGGUGCAUUUCAAUGGCGGUGAUGGGAAAGUUAUCGGCGUGAGAUUGUCUCCGGAUGUUCAGAUUUGUGAAGCAUGUUUGCAGUUCGGAAGAUCGGUGUCCAGAUGGGUUAUACAUGCAUUCGCUGAAACAUAUUACACAUAUAAUUGAAACCUCACAGGUGUGGCUGGUUUGUUAUUGGUGAGGGCAAGCAAGUGGCACCCUGCAGAAAAGCAUGGAAUUUGCGGCAAGGAGAUUGACAAGCUGCAAAAAUAAUGCUGCGGAAGCAUCCAACAAUCGACGGGGCUCAACGUGAGCCUUCAAAGCCUGCCAGAGACGGAGGACGUUGUCAUAACUUCGGAGUUAGGCAGUCAGGCGCUUUCAUAAAUUGGGGCACAUGGCUGGCAUGUCAAAUGAUUCUUCCAUGGUCGGUAGCAUCUUCACUAAUAGGCAUUCCUCCUUAAAGGACCCUUACCUCUAGGAAGUAGCAGCGAAUUCCUUGUCUGUAUUAGCGAUUGUGAGAAAGAAAGAAAGAACGAAAGAAAGAAAGAAAGCAAGAAAAAAAAGGUGAGCAUAAAAAAUUGCACAAGUUGUUCGUGUUUUCAGUCCAAUUGACGUAUGGUUGAUUAAUCUAAACGAGUGUGUCAUCUCCCCAACCACUGUACAUUUCGCUAAGCCGCUCUUCAGAAGCUGUGCCCAGAUCGUCGCAUUGAAUUCAGUCAGAGGUACGUACCACAGUCCAGAAAUGGUUGUUCGAGAGAGGGAGAGUUGUCAUCGUUAGGUCCUAUGUUUUUUUGCUUGUUUGAUCUCUGCAAUGACGCCGAAUCUGUCAGUUGAGAUAAUGUUCAGAAUGGUUGGUGGACGCGACCAUUUCGCCUUGCUCAUGAUACAAGGCUGGCAUCAUACUGCUCGAGCCAUUCCCCAGAACUCGAUAAUAAACACUUCUAUAUUUGACAGUUCUCAGAGUUCGCUCGCUGCUACUGGAGCUGGAGCUGUAACCGGGGUUGUGGAAUAGAGGAGUGCGCUCAGGGAUUGUCAGGCGCGGCGCUGCUGCAUUGCGAGUACCUCAAAGCCGUCAGUCAGCGUGGUCGGAGGGAUUUGGAUUUCUGAGGUGGAUCUCUCGCUUCAAUGGCGGUAGCUUAUAGCCAGAAGUUGAAUCUGUUUCUGGCGGUGGUGCUUUCGGCGGCCAUUAGCAGUGUAGCUGAUGCACAAUUCUACCCGACAGACGUGAACGGAUUCUUGCGCCCUCAGAAUGAAGCGCGAGCUCAGCUCGGUCUUAGCCCCCUCCAAUGGGAUCAAAACCUGGCGAAUUACGCCCAAGGAUGGGCGAACCAGAGGAGACUCUACGGCGACUGCCGGCUCCAGCAUUCCGGAGGACCUUACGGAGAGAACAUAUUCUGGGGAUCGGGGAAGGCAUGGCAGCCCGUGGAGGCCGCGAAUGCGUGGGUUGCCGAGAAGCAAUGGUACCGCUACUACAGCAACUCCUGCGUGUACUACAACAAGUGCGGUCACUACACGCAGAUUGUGUGGCGAGGGACUACCAAAGUAGGGUGCGCGCGGUCCGUAUGCAAUGACGGCAACAUCUUCAUGACUUGUAAUUACUAUCCCCCCGGAAACUGGGUUGGACAGCGACCAUACUGACAUAAAAAUGUGGACACCAUUUCUACACUUUCUCAGUUGGGUGUUCAAGGUAGUGAAUUUUGUGCAAGGAGCGACUAGUAGAGAGUGCACGUAUUACAUGUUGAUAGAUUCCAUCUACUGUAGCAUUCACCACCCACGCAUUCGCGGCCUCGACGGGCUGCAACCUGCCGGAGCACCAUCACAUUGCACUGUACCAUAUGUAUACACAGCACAUGAUCGCAGACAUGAAGCACGCGAGAGAAACUCAUCCCAUGACCGGAAUGUGAGGCUUGGUUCUAAUUUUUAAUAAAGGUGGACCAUUGAGUCGACGACCUGGGGUCAUUUCGCUAUCAAUGCAUGAGACCGCGAAGAAAGUCUUUUUCACAAUCCUUUAAAAGUGUCUGCGAGUCGUGGGCCUAUGGAGUCAUUUCGAGCUUCAGAUGCUUCCAGCUUCAGAUACUCUCGGAUCGAAUCCGAAGUUGCCGUCAAUGGGGGUGAUCAAGGUGAGCCAGAAUGCUUGAGGUGCAGUGCACUUGCCGGAAACCUUCCAUAGUCACUAAUGCCUAGCUACUCGUCCAGCUCGGUGAACAUCUCUUCCAAGCCUCAGCAUUCUAGUCGCGAAUCUCACUUCGUCCAGAGAACACCACACUCGAGACUGUUCUUCACCCAUAUCGCCUACUGUCUCUCACCCAAGGCCCGCGGCGGCAUCUUCAAAUCCGCAUGAAAGUUGCCACGUCAGUGACGCCGCACUGAAAAAAGGAUGUACGAUCCAGUCACUCAAAGAUGUGAAAGGGACUGAGAUGGGCUUGCAGUACCCAGAGGCAUUCAAGGCCCAACUAACAACCCUGAUCGAUCAUCAAUGCCGGUCGGCGUAAUAACCGUUGUUGUUGCUGAGGUGCGGAACGAAGCCCGAUUGUGCUGAAUGGAGGUUAGAGAAUGGUAGGCUGCCUCUUCUUCUUCCUCCACCUCCUCCAUCGCCAUCCUCGUCUUCGUCUUCGUCACCUCUGCAAUUUGGAUCCAUGUUUGUUGUAUGAUCUGGUCACGGUAGUGAGAUCUCGUCACGCUUGGCUCUAUUGUUAGUGAAUGCUCCUCCUCACCGGCUGCGUUGGAGAGUGUUCGGUGGCGAGGGGCAACAAAGGUAGCCCUUUUGGCAGCGACCAUCACUUCCGCUUCACAACCCAUGGCCCCUUCUCUUGAUCUGGGGAGCAUAUGAUGUUAUCGUAUUAAUACUUGAAUCACUGCAUUCCUCUAAAGAAUAUAUAUAUAUAUAUACAGAGAGAGAGAGAAUGAAUGGUUAAGGCUACAUCUUAAUUGGUAUUGCUACUCCAUGUGAUCUCCUACUAGACAACUAGCUAAUAAUAUGUCUCUAUCUUUUCUGCAUUUUUUAUUGUUUUUGCUUUAAGAAAGGGUGGUGGUUAAGAGGGAGACAAUGAAUAUUUUAUAAAAAAAGAGAUUGCAAUUUUUUUCCAAAAGUAUUUUAUUUCAAAUUCUAUUUUAUUUUUUAAAUAUUUGCAUACUAAAAACACAAAAACUUUAAUUAAUUAAUUAAUUUAUUUAUUUUAUUUUUUAAUAUAUUGAGCAGUAAUCAACAUAUAUUAUGAUUGUAGUGGCCUACCAAGUCAUUGUAUAUUACAACAACACACCUAUUUAUUACUAUUCAUGAAUAAUUGUUUGAAUGUUGUGCACUAUCAUGUUAUUGUAUUGCUAUGUGCUAUGAAGACUUAAAGCUUAUAUGUAUAUAUAUAUAUAUAUAUAUAUUGAGUGGCUAAAUAGUAAUAAGUAUUGAAGUUUAAGUAAUAUGUUUAAAUAUGUUUUAAUUAUAAAUUCUAAUAACAAAUCAGUUUGUAUUUGUGAUGAUUUUGCCUGAUUUCAAAUAUUAAAAGUAAAAAAGUAAAAAAUAAAUAAAAUGUAACUUCUUUUUUAAAUCAGUUUUUUAGUUAUUAGAAUUUUGUUUAAAACUACAUACAAUUUCACUUAGUUAAUAUUCUUUUGAAAAUAUUUUAAACCAAAUAUCACAAUAAAUAAUAAUAAAUAUAUAUACCACUUUAAACAUACAUUCUUUUGAUCCACAAGUCAAUAUAUAUAUAUAUAUAUAUAUAUAUACUCUCUCUCUCUCUCUCUCUCUCUCUCUCUCUUUACAUAUCUAUAUAUAUAUAUAUAUAUAUUUACAAAUUGGCAUGUAAUAGAGAUUUCAUUGUUAAUUUAAUAAAUUAUUUAAUUCUGAUAUAAUACAAAUAUUAUUCUUGGAAUUUAAUCAGUUACACAAGAGCAAACAUUUUAUUAUCAUUAUUAUUAUUGACAUAUUGAAUAGUAUGAUCUUUUUCCAACCUCAAAGAACGUGUUUUAUAAAAAAUAAUAAAAGCAGUGUUAAGAUUUGCUAAUAAUAUUACUACAAAUACUCUUAAAAUAAUAAUUUUUCACAUUUGUCAAAUCUCUCAACAUCAAAGCACGAUUUUUUUUUGUUUGUGUAUGAAAUUAGAAUAAAAAUAGUGAUUUUGUUCACAUUGUGGCUUCUUCUCAUUUUAUAAUAUCUCCAAAAAACAUUGCCUUCCAACAAAAAUAAAAAAAGAAUAAGAAAAAAAAGAAAAAGAAAAAACUUCUUCUCUUCACCAACGAAAGACCUUCAUAAGACUCUUAUACUGAAAUUUUCAAUAUGAGUUUUUAAGUAUAAAAAUCUUUUAAGAAAUGAAUUUCAUGCAUGUACACGAUAGUUUCUUUAUAUCAUACAUACUGUCAUCUUCCGUCAAAUAUAAAAAAUCUACCACUUCUAUUUGAUGUUAUUAAAAUAGUAUUACUAAUUAGGAUUCGGAAUAAAAAUUGCUUGUUGUCUUUCACACUGCCCACGUUGCAAAACCGUGGGCUUUAGGCUCCGUUCUCCUCGGAACUCUUCUGGAGAUGCCAUCUGGACGCCACCCUACCUCGACGCGUGUCAUCCGAUUUAAAAAUACACUCGAAUCGGGCUUGAAGGCCUAACUCGGCGCCGUGCUCGGCAUUGCUCAGAUCUUCACCCAGCUACUUCAAUCGACUCAUCGUGCUCGAACCCAACAACCGAGCUUGCAAUUCGCAUUUGCUCUGUAUUGGGUCGGAUAAGCAAUCAGAUUUCAGUUAGCUAUCGUGUUGGGUUUUGUUGAAAUUUCAAGGAGUUUUUGUGAUGGCAAGCGCAAAUGUCAGCAACCACGCUGCUGCUCCUGUUGCAGCUGAGAAGACGCAUUUGAAGCAGCAAACCAACGCUGAGGAGCCUGCCGUUGCUCCUGAGACAACUAGAUUUCCCAAGGUUAGCUUCCAGUUGAAGCCUACGAAGUUGAAAUUGAAUUAAAUGGUGUUCACCUUAUGGUUGGAGUGCAAGAGAAGCCUUGAUCGAAGGGUGUGAGGUUCUGUUAGAGUUGUGCUGUUUGAUUCAUAGAGCAUUACUGAUGCAAACCUAUUUUUCGGUCUACGUCGACGGUAAUCAGACUCAGGAUGUGCAAUUUUUGCCAGACUAUCUCCCACGUUUAAUUACAAUUGUUCCACUAUGAGGUAGAUACAUACUAAGUCGCAUUUGAGGUCGCAAAUUGUUCACGGUCAGACAACCUGAAUGUCUGGCUCUUUAGUUCAGUAUUUCAUCUUUUCUAAGAUUUUCUCUCCCUGAUGGAACAUGCCCUUCUCUGCUGCAGGAUGUGGAUGGAGCGAGCAGUGGUCCUGUAUGGCAAAACAUUGCCGUCCCCUUGAAAGCAGAUCCCGCCAACAACCCUAGCAGCGAAGAGUGGGAUCAGGCCAAACAAGCUUUCAAAGACACUGGCUUGCUCAAGCGCCUUCCUUGAGCCCAUGCUCAACGUUAAUAAUAUAUAUAUAUAUAUAUAUAUAUACAUACUGUAUGAGCUACAUUACGGAAAAUACCUCUUUGGUCAUUAGGAUCUUGUCCAAUAUAGUCAACAUUAGCUGAGUGCUUGCUUAGUAGACGUCAGUUACACACAACGUGCAUUUAAUUUAAACAAUGUUGUAUUCAUUAACUAGCAAUUAAAAUUAUGCCAGUUUGUUUAAUUUCUUAUAAAUAUGUUUGCCCUUUCUCAUACCAAAGUCAUAGCUAUUUCAGUGUAGAAACAAGCUUCUUUUCUUGGAUGGAAGGCUAGGAGUGGACUUCUAGGGUUUCGUUGAGAGGAUGGGUGUCUUGUUUGACAAACGUGGGGUGGAAUCUCUGAGGAAUUCUCGUCGAGGGUGAACCCAACAACUCGUCCACUUCCCUUUCCUUCCGUUUCAUUCUACAUUUCCAUGCGCAGAUUCUUCUCUACAUACACUGCCAUUCCGCUGAGCACGAACAGUUCACGUAAUCCUUGAGCAUUGGGCGAUCUGAGAUUCUGAACUGCUUCUCGUUGCACCACCAGGGAAGUGUCUUCUGGGAUCGAACCCCCAACGUAAAACAUUGACAUCUAGAGGUAUAUUCGGAACAUCAGGAGAUACUAAAGUCCGCAGGAUACCUGUGUUCGCGACAACGAUUCAUCGUGGCGUUGGCAGUGACCACGUUUAAGUAAUUUGCAACCAGCCUGAUCUUGUGUCCUAUGAAUGCAAUAGUACAGACAAUAGAGGAUGAAUUACAAAUAAAAUUUCACUACUAGGAAGUCAUAAUUAGCUACCAUUUUUUAGUAACUAGUGAGUAACUAGUAAGAAAGAAAAACUUCUCCAUGUGAUCAUGAUUGUGAUAAGUAAAGAUUGUUUGAAUAGUAUAUAAUAAGGGGAUUCAGACUUAAUGUUUUUGGAUAACCAAAUAUCACUUGUUUUGGAAACUCAAAUAUCAUAAAUCAUUCAAAAUAUCAUUUCAAAAAUCACUUCUCCAAAUAUCACUAUUCAAACUUUAUUACUCCUUUUAAGUUUUUGAAGUACCACUUGAUAUUUUGGUGAUUUCAAAAAGUGAAGGCAAUUAAAGCAAAGCGAAAAGAAUUAAGGCAAGUGAGGAAGUUUGUGAUAUUUCAUUGGCUCCUCUUUUGAUAUUUGGAUUUCAAAAUCAACUACCUUGUGAGGUAGAUGAUUUUCAAGUAUUAAGUGAUAUUUUGAAAUAACACAUGAUACUUUGAGAUAUUAUCAUGGGUGAAGUAUCACUCAAAAACCUUAAAUCUAAAUCCUUUUAAUAUAAGGUUCUUCUUAAAAUAAAGUAUUUUGUUGUAUUUUCAAAAGAGGUGUAGUAUCUUGUAAAACAAAUGGUGAAGGAUCCCAUAGCUUAGAAGUUGUACAAGAGUGUAUAAUGUGUGGUUUUGAUUUCUUUACUUCUGUUAGCUUAUUAGCUUGUUUUGAAUUCCUUUCUUAGCUUUAGAAACUAUUAUUUACAUAUCUUGAUUUACAAACAAAGAUUAUUAUUUACAUAGAGAGUUUAUAUUUUCAGCAUUAGUUUUAUAUAAUUUUUUUUAGACAUGCUAACUAUUCUUCUUGAUUUUUUAUAUUUUAAUCAUUCUUCAUUUUUUAUUUUGAUCUUCUUGUUGUUUAAUACAUUUCUCUAGUAUCAUUACAUUUUACUUUUUAAGCAUCUUAAUAGAGAAGGAUAAAAUUAGAACCUAGUAUUUUAAUGGAAUAAAGAUUCAUAUAUAGAAGUGGUAGAUUCAAAACUUAUGUCACAGACAUACACAUGUAAACCAAUAAUUACUUAUAUGAUUAGAUAAAAGUAGAUAAAAAUAGGUAAAUUCCACAAUAUCUUCUACAGAAGCUUCAUAGAUGCUACUUUGACUUUAUAGAUAUCUAUAGUUGACUUUUUAGAUUAGAAACAUGAUAUACAAGUUAGCCAUGUGCCACACAUGUUAGUAGCUUGAAGAAUAAGCUAACUAUAUGGCAUAUACAUAGAAAACUUAUCUUGUAAGUUAAGGCAUGUAUCUUGCAAAGUCAACACAUAUUAGAGGUCCUAUAGAACAUCGCCACAUAGCUCUUAGUUAGAUAGAUAGUAUAUAUAAAGGCACGAGUAAAGUCCUCUUCAUUUUUAUCAAUUCAUUUCUUGCUUUUAGUCUAGAUUCAAGAGUCUCUAAUUUCCUUAUCUUUUGCCAAUAGUCAUUCGAGUUUCCUUUUAAUAUACAUAUUUUUUUUAUUUUCAUUUUUUUAUACUUAUUUAUUUACUUUCAUCAAGUUCUUGUUCUUGAUAGAUUGACAAGAAUAUACUUACAAUAUCAGAGCCUUGUCUUUUCUUGAUUAAGAGUGGAUUAUCACUUUCUCUUGAUAAGACAUAAGUAUAUUAGAAGUUGUAGAUUACCUUCUUUUAAACUGAUAUUGUUCUUAGUAUGUUAUUUGAUGUCUAAUCCUCUCUUCUACAAGACUUGAGCAAAAUUAGAUAUAUAUAUUUUUAAUUAUUAUCAUGGCAGAGCUUGUUGAAAUGAAGAGUGCAAUGGCACAAGUGCAAGAGCAAUUGAGGGAAUUAAUGCUUGUGAUGCAUCAACUCAUUUUAUAACCACAAAAAACAACAAGAAUGGCAAGAAGUAAAAAUAUAGAUAUGAUUGGAGUUCCUCAAUAUGUGCACCAAAUCAUAUCUUUUUUUCUAUGAUAGAACAUCCUUCUAGUACUAGAGAACUAAGAAUUGCCAUGUCUAAGAAAUUUAAUGGCACAAGAUCCAAGUUUCGAGGAAUUAUCAAUUAAGUAUAACUUAUGAUUGAGCAUCAAUUCCAAAGCUAUCUAACUUUAGGAUCUCUAGUUAAAUUCAUUUGUACACUUCUUUGAAGUUUCACAUUAUCAUGGUUUUCAUCUUUUCUUGAACAACAAGAUCUAAUAUUAGAUAAUUUGGAGGCUUUUUUGGUAGAGUUUUGAUCUAUGUAUGGAAAAUAUGAUGUAAUUUGUAUUGCAACCAACAAGAUCCGUAUUUUGCAACAAAACAAUCAAUCUGUAACAUUAUAUGCUUCACAAUUUUAAUAACUUAUAACUGAUAUCAAGUAUAAUGAUGCUAUACUUAUUAGCCAUUAUUUUUUAUAGAUUACAAUAUAAGGUAAAGAAAUUAAUGCUCAACUUAGCUGAUCCACAAAUACUGAGUUAAGCAAUUGAUUUUGUUGUGAAGUAUGAUAAUUGACUUUUUAAAUUUUGAUUUAAAAGUCAAAUAAGUAAGCUUCAACAUUACUAUAAUUCAAUGGUAACACUAAUACCUCCUCAAUAUAUAUAUAUAUAUAUAUAUAUAUAUAUAUAUAUAUAUAUAUUUGAAAAUAGAAGAUAUAUAAAUUGAUGCAGUAUGUUUCAAACUUCUUACUUAGUAAGAAAGAUUUAUCGUUGUUAGGAAAGAUUGUGCUUAUAUUGUGGAAAAGCUAAGCACAUUGCUCAACAUUGUCCAAAGAAGUGAUGCAAUUAUAAAAUAAAGAAUACAAAUGUCAAAGAAGAUAAUAUAUUGAAAAACGAGUUUGUUCAGUUACAAUAGGGACCGUGCCAUUGGAACCUUGUACAAUACCUAAUGAAGGUCAUAUUUUUUCCUCAAAACCCUCUCCUUGUUUUAUAUUAAAUAUUAUUUUACAACAUAAAUAUUAAGAAGUCUUUGCUUUGUUAGAUUUAGAAGCCUUAGUGUGUUUCUUAGAUAAAAAUUUCACUAAAAGACUUAACAUAUCUUUAAUGAGAAAAACUAAACCUGUUCAUAUAGAAGUCAUAGAUAAUCGUCUAUUAUCUUUUGAAGAUAUUACUCACAAAAUCUUUUCUAUAGAAAUAAUAAUCAAUGAUCAUAAUAGCUUUGUGAUAUUUAAUCUCAUUAAAUUUUCCUCUAAUUCAAUCAUUUUAGGCUUAUUAUGGUUAAAAAAAUAUAAUCUUUGAGUAGAUUAGAUUUUUUGAGCUUUCAACUUUUUUAAAAUUAUAAUGAAGGGUAUAGUUAAUUAAGUAAAAAACCACAAGUAUAAUAUAAUUAAACCUAUAUUUAUAGAUGCAAGAGCUUUCUUGGAUGAUGUAAAAAAAGGAUUACUUUGUGUUAUUUAUGCCACGCCUAUUUCUAAUGGUACAAAGAUUUCAAGUGGCAUUUCAAGCCAAUAUCAAGAAUUUUAAAAUUUAUUUGAAAAAAAGAAUGUAGAUAUUCUUUUAAAAUAUCAUCCCUAUGAAUACUCAAUUGAUCUUCAAGUAGGAGCACAACCACUAUUUGGACCAAUCUACAAUUUAUUACAAAAUGAGUUGGUUGAAUUCAAAGAAUAUAUUGAAGAGAAUCUAGAUAAGAACUUCAUAUGCCAUUUCAAAUCUCUAAGAAGAAACCUAAUUCUAUUUGUAAAGAAAAAAGAUGGAUCAUUGCAGAUGUGUAUUGAUUAUUGAGGACUCAACAAGAUCACCAUCAAGAACAAGUAACCACUACCUUUAAUCUUUGAACUUCUUGAUCAGUUGAAUCAAGCUAAGAUCUAUACAAAAAUAGUUCUAUAAGGAGCAUACAAUCUCAUAUACAUCAAAGAAAGAAAUGAAUAGAAAACUAUAUUUUGAAUCAAGUAUAAACAUUUUGAAUAUAAUGUCAUGCCUUUUGGAUUUACAAAUAUACCAAUAGCUUUUUAAAAUCUUAUGAAUGAUAUUUUUUGAGAGUUUUUGGAUGAUUUUUUUAUCUGUUAUAUAGACAAUAUCUUAAUCUAUUCUAAGAAUAUAGAAGAACAUGAACUUCAUGUUUGUCAUGUAUUAUUAAAAUUAAAAGAUGUAGGAUUCUAUGCCAAGAUAGAAAAGUAUACAUUCCACAUUACUCAAGUUGAUUUCUUAGAUUACAUCAUUUAAAAUGAUGGACUUAUAAUGGAUCUUAAGAAAAUUCAAACUAUUAUGGAUUAGAAGAUCCCGAAAAUAGUACGAGAUGUCCAAUAUUUUUUAGGAUUUGCAAACUACUACUAGAUCUUUAUCAAGGACUUCUCUUCAAUUGUAGCUCCACUUACAUGUUUGAGUUGUAAAGACAAACUUUAGAAGAAUCAAGAAGCAAAAGUAAUAUUUGAAGCUUUAAAAAUAAUCUUUGUUUCUAUACUAAUCUUGUAUCGUAUUGACUUUUUUAAGGCAUUUUUUUUAUAGAAAUAGAUGCAUCCGACUUUGCUUUAGGUGCUAUAUUAUCACAAAUAGGAAUAUAUGAUAAACUUCAUAUAAUAGCUUUUUAUUCUAAGAAAUUUUCAGUAGCUAAGAUUAAUUAUGAGAUCAAUGACAAAGAGCUUCUUGCAAUUGUGGAUUCUUUUCAAGAAUGGCAUCAUUAUUUAAAAGGUACUUCUAUUCCAAUCACCAUGUAUACAAAUCACAAGAAUCUUGAAUACUUUGUAUUAGCAUGUGUAUUAAAUUAUUGCAUAGCCUAUUGGAGCAUGUCUUUAUCAAGAUUUGAUUUCAAAAUCAUAUAUUGACUUGAUAAACAACAAGGUUUGUCAGAUGUAUUUUUUAAAUGUUCUUAUCUUAUACCAAAAGAAGGAGAUGUAUCUUUUGAUCAAUAAGAACAAUUCUCUUCAAGCCCGAGUAUUUUCAUCUUUUAGUCAUAAGUCCAUCAUAAGUCCAUUAUAAGUCCAUUAUAAGCCCAAGCAUUUUUAUCACAAAUCUUCUAGUAUUAGGUUUGUAUGAUUUUAUAUUUGUGAUUGUAGAUAAUUUUAUGAAGAUGGCAUAUUUUGUACCAUAUAUGAAAUCUAUCACAGGUGAAGUAACAACUAAGUUUUUCUUUGAUAAUAUCUAUCGAUAUGACGGAUUGUCCAAGGAUAUUAUGUCAGAUAAGAGGAUUCAAUUUGUAUCAAGAUUUUAGAGAAUCUUUUUCAAGAUUCUAAAGAUAGACAUUAAAUUAUCUUUGGUCUUUUAUCCUCAAAUUGAUGGAGAGAUUGAGCAUUUAAAUCAAGUUUUGGAGCAAUAUUUAAAGUAUACAAUCAAUUACCAACAAGAUGAUUAGAAAACUCUUUUGCCAUUAAUAGGAUUUGCUUGUAAUAAUACGGUGCAUUCUUCUAUGUAACAAACACCUUUCUUUAUUAAUUAUAGUCAUCAUCCAUGACUUGAUAUUUUUGACUUUUUAAUAGUUGAUAAUUCUGUCACAAAAUAUUUGACAAAUCAUUUGUUAGAGCUAGAUGCAAUAAUGAAGGUACAAUUAAAAGAAGCUCAAGAAUAACAAAAGAUCAAUGCAAAUAUCUAUUAGAAAGAACAACCAUAAUUCAACAUGGGUGAUAAGAUAUGGUUAUUUCAUUGUAAUAUUAAGACUACUCAUUCUUGUGAUAAGUUAGAUUAUUAUAGGCUUGAACCUUUUCUAUUUCUGAACAAUUCAAUCUAGAUGCAUAUAGAUUACUCCUACUUGAAUCAAUGAAGAUCCAUCUUAUAUUUUACUUAUUUCUUUUUGAACCAUACAAGAUAGAGAACAUACUAAGAAGAAGAUAAGUGCCACUUCUGCCUGUAGAAGUAAAUAAUAAUGAAAAAUUUGAAGUAGAAGAAGUCUUAGAUUCAAGGCGGUACCAAAAUAGGUUGGAAUAUCUUAUUCAUUGGUAUGGAUAUGAUAUGAGUGAAUGCUUAUAGAAGCCAACAAAAAAUAUUAUAAAUGUAAUAAAGAAGGUGGAGGCUUUUCAUCAAUGACAUCCAUCAAGACCAAGAUGAAGACUUUUUCUAUAAAAAAAAUAAGAUCUAAACAAGAUAAAAUUUUAUUUUCUAUCCUUGUUGUAGCUUCUUUGUAUUUUUCAUACUAAAGAAAUGGAGAACCAAUAACCAACGGAUUUGACUCAAGAGUCUUCAUUUGCUAAUUUUUCAGAUGACACAUUGUAAUUGUCACAACCUUCAAGACAAUACAAUUGAGAUAAAGAUCCUCAAAAAUGACAUGUUCUUCUACAAAUAGAUGGUAAGAUACAACCAGUUUGGUAUCACAACCUUGGAAUGGACUCCCAAUAUUUGAUAAUUUUAUUAGAGGUAGGAACAAUUUUUGACGGUGUUCUAAAUGUUUUAUUUGAAAGAAGUUAUAAAGGCCUCAACAGUGAUCAAAUAAUUGAGUGGUCUUUUUGCCUUGGUAUGGGAUACUAUCAAUGGUUGAGAGGCCCUAUCAACUAUCUUCAAAGAGAACAAAGAUCAGAGUAUAUAACAAAUACAAUUUGUUGCAUCUUGGAUUUUCUCAAUAUAUGAUGACCACUGUCAUAUUACAUGGCAUUUGGCUUGAGAAUGCACUGGACACUUCGCUAUAGAAGAUAAAAAGAAAAUUACAAUAAGAAGUCUUAACAACUCAAAUCGAUUCUUAAAAAAAUUACAAUUAAAGAUUAGCAAAUAUAAUCAAACAUCAAUCAAAUUCAAUCAAAAUUUCAUAGGAAUUAUGUAAGAAACACAAAAUAUUCCUAGAGACCGUUUAAAGAAUCAUUAAGAAAUAACAUAGAAAUUCAAAAAUAUACUAAAAUGAAAAUCUUAAUAAAAUAUUAAAAUAAAAUUUUAAUUAAAUCUUAGUUAGAAUCUAAUAAAAUUCUAAUCAAAUAUUAGUAAAAUCCUAAUUAAAUCCUAAAUAAAUCCUAGUCAAAUCCUAAAAAAUCCUAAAUAAACUUUAAUCAAAUUUUGGUCAAAUCCUUAAUAAAUCGUAAUCAAAUGCUAAACAAAUCCUAAAUAAAUCCUAACAAAAUCUUAAUCAAAUCCUAAAAAAACCUUAAUCAAGCUCUAAUCGAUUCCUAAACAUAUCCUAAUGAAGCCUUAAAUAAUCUCAAGUAAUUCCUAUAGCAGAUUUAAACAUCAAUAACUAAUGAAUGAACCAUUGAUUUUAACUCAAAUUUUGUAAAUUUCUUAAUAAUUUAGUUCACAACGAGCACAAAUAUUUUGAAGAAGAUUGAAUUCACCAAAAAGAAGACCAAUCCUAAUA
rnacentral:lncRNA from 1 species